rnacentral:lncRNA from 1 species
ACAUACACAUACACACACAACCGCACCCACCUGCGUUCAGAGCAUUCAUUACCGGCUCGAGGAGCAUCGCCACGAGGGCGGGAAGAGCCACAGCCCAAAUCUCCUUGUCGUACGGUGACGUCGACAGCUGCUGCACCCGGCGCUUGAGCGCGGCAAGAGGGCUGUCAUCCUCCUCCUGUGCAAAGGCACUGGCGGCUGCUGCUGCUGCUGCUGUGGCUACUCUGGGAGACCGGUUUGUAGCGAGGCGGAAGCGCUGGGUAAGGCUAGCUGUGGUGGUGCCAAUAGAGCCAUGCUUACAUUGUCCCAGAGCUGAAAGCAGCAGUCGGUUCGCAUAAUGUAGAUGUGGAUAAGCAGUUGAUAUGUUAAGGGUGGUAGGAGACAAGCUAGUUCGUUUGAGCAGCCCACAAGGCUGCAUGGCCUGUGUGGUCAAUACUGCCGGCAGUAUUGUUAUUUGCUAGAUGCUAUUUCAGGUGAGGUUCUAUGUCACUAUUUGAAAUGUGUAAAGCAUUUAUGGCAUUCCGUGCGGUAAAGCGGGAAAUGUGAUUAUCCUUCCAGCUAUAUGGCAUAUCCCACGUCUUUUCGUUUCCAAAGAUAGUUCUACAAUCCAGAAGUAAAUUCCAAGAACGUGGGGACCUUACGAUCAUGAUCGCGUCAGAAUGUACGGCCUCACGCAGUCAUCACGACCGACAAGCUCCCAAACCAAACAAACGUGGUGUUGUGUACGUGUGUAAGAAGUAAAAUGCUUCAUGAAAGCUCAUGACAACGCCUGGGACGCUGCCUUAGUUGGGCCUGCGCGUGGUCCCUGGUACAAAGUUGUGGUAGAUUUGCUUGCGGAAACACAAAGAGAGUGCUGUAAAGACAAGAUGACAUCGGAGUUUCAUUUUCUAUAUUUGAUUCAAGCUGUCGGCGACAGCUUCUGUACUAAGAGACAUCAAACACCUCCGUUACUAAUAGAAAUGUCUGUGUGGCAUGUGGCAAGUGGCAAGUGGGUUGCGACUACGAUAAUGUGGCUUUCCCACCAUCCAUCAAAAAUCAACGCAGAAAACGUGACUCUGUCCGUUGUGCACCCACUAUGCGAUGUGUGAUCGCCGAUCGGAACCCUAGAGCCCAGGCCUACCGAUGCCGAAGAACUCGAAGUUGGCGUAGGAUCCGCCGGUGUUAUAAAUAACAGUUUUACAUAAUUAAAUUAUCCUCUGAUAUCUUGACUGGCUAGCAUUUAGCAGCCAACCUUGCGGCGUUAUCCUCAAAACAUUCACCGACGCCUAGUGGAACUUCCGAACACAAAGAACAUAGCCACAUAUCUUCAAUCUUUUGGGUUUAUCAGUUAACCUGCCUUGCCUUGCGCUGUCCGGCCUCGGACAGCCUCAAUGUUAGAUGGUGAGUAACUAACUAGGUAAGAUGAUUAGACAGCGACAUGAGGCCACUGCCCUAGGAAGUGCAUAAAUCCUUUUCCUCCCUGGGCAUUGAUUGAAGAUAUUGCUGCAGCCUGCCCUUGCUUCUGCGCUCCUGCACAGCGCUUCGCAUCGACGCACCAAAGGCACGAUCGACGCGCCUCGACUCAACCGAAGAAUAUUGCUUCGCACUGCUCUGCACGACUCGCUAAGAUGCUGUCCAUGUUUCCAAAUAUACUUAAUAACAUUAUCAACAUCGCCUUCAUGACGCAUAAUUAGCUCUCCUUAAAUCCAAACGAAUGAGGUUAUGGACGUUCAAGUUCACUCGCCGUUGUCGUCACCCCCACCUAGGACUCAAGAAGUCAGACGCCCAGAAAACGAGGCUGGAGCUGCCGCACACAGUAAUCCCCAAAACCACUAGCAUCACCUGCAUCACCAGCACCAUCAUCAGCAACAGAAACAGGAACAGGACUGCACUCAUUCGCUAUGCCGCUUUCCGCGCCCCACGCCGCCACUGACGCCAGCGACAGCAUCGGCGUCGGCGUCGGCGGCCCUGGUGACCUCCGGCUGCCCGUGCAAGAUCGCAUGCGAGCCGCAGCCUCCGCCACCUGUGCCGGUGCCGGAGCCGCGUCAUCGUCGUCGUCGUCAGCGGCGACAGCGGCGGCGGCCGCGGCGGCGGCGACAGCGACGGCGACGGCUGCGGCGGCCACGACAACGGCCACAGCUACUGAAGCCCAGCUUGUCAGCUCUUUUUUGGAUGUUGCUACUGCCGAUGCGAUUCUCGUGUUCCCCGACGGGCGAAGCCUGCCGUGCCAUUCACAGGUACGACUUAUCUUCCUCCUCUCUCCUGACGUCGGUUUCUGGGAAUGUGAAGACAUGAAGUGCACGUUUUCCUUGGGUAUGCUGUCUUCCUUGGGUUUGCUUUGCUUCAUGAGUGUAGUGUUUUCUUUACUGGAUAAUGUUUUUCCUCCAUGUCCUUGUCCUCCUCCUUCUGCCCCUUCUCCCCUUCUCUCCUCCCCCUGCCCAGGUCCUAACUGCGUGGUCUGGCGUAGUCAGGGACCUCCUCCAAUCAACUGCCUGUGGCAGUAGCGGCAAUAGCAAUAGCAGUAGCAGUAGCCGCGGCAGCAGCAGCGGCGGCGGCGCAGAGGCUUGGCCUGCGACUGACACUGCAGCUUCUGCUGCUACUGCUGCCAACUCCGCUGGGUCCCAUGGGUCAGGAGUUGGCGGCCGGUUUGAUUCUUCCUCCGGCUGUAGCAGCCCUCCGCAGCUGUUGCUACGUCUUCCUUUGGUGGGUGCGGAUUCCGUGGAGGACUGGGUGAGGUUGCUGGAGCUGAUAUACCCGCCAACACGGCUACCCCGGCCUGCCAUUGGAUGGGUGAGUGUGUGAGUAGGAGGUCGGCGGUUGCGAAGAUGGUACGACGUACGGGUCGGCUUGGAAGUUCGGUACGGCGUACGGCGCACGGUACGGCGCAAGCAAUUGUUGAUAUUGGGUUGUUCGUGGGGCUCGGGCCGAAGAGGAGUCUUCACCAACUGGUGGCCGGUGCGGGGGGAAAGACGAACCACACCCGGUGCGGGGGGGGGGGGGGCUGCCACCCUUAAAGAGAGAUGCAUGUCACGGCAUGUGUAUAGGGUUGGACGGUACGACACGUACAACAUGUAUGAGACGGACAUCACGUCUGUGCUCGCGCCCCUCCUGUCCACUCCUUCACACACAGGACAAUAUCGACUCCGUGAUUGUGCUGGCGGACAAGUACGGCAUGUCCGGAUUGUUGCUACUGUGCGAGGCGUUCCUGUUGAGCAACGGUGGCGGCGGUGGCGGCGGCAGUACGACUGGCGCCGCGUUUAGCUGUGACCCGGAGGACCGGGCCUACGUUUGGAAGUGGCUCCAGAGGGCGGAUAGGUUGCGGAUGGAACGGGUGGGUUAUGGUUAGGUUGGUUGGGGUGGUUGGGGUGGUUGGCGGUGGUUGAUAGGUUGGGGGGUUGGGGUGAAGGACGCACAGUACUCACUUGAGACAAAGCAGCGGCAAUACUAAUCACUCUGUAUCGGCGUUCACGGUAUUCUGCCGCCCCGGCAUUCUCCCGGGGGAGUUGGAAUGGGGGGCCUUCCCCUAACCACUGACGGCCAUGGGCCCAUGCUUGCUUUUCUUCCCGCUGCUUGCACAGUGUCUGUAUGUCUGUCUAUGUCUGCCUAUGUCUGUAUUCGGUUCAUCUGUCCGCUGUCUCCGCACGGCCCAGGCUUGCCUGUCUGUCUGUCUGUCUGUCUGUCCCGGCAACCCCCGGGGGGUGGGGUGGGUGGGGGGUGAGGUACGUAGGUUUGCAACGAAUGCAUCGACUUCAUUUGCUCCGAAGCCAUGUUGGGCCCUGGGGGUUACAGUACGGCAGUUUGGGGUGAUGUGGAGGAGGAGCUGCUGGAGGCACUGAGAGGCAGCACGUUGCGCAGGUGGGUUUUAGGGUUUUAGGGUUUUAAGAUUGAUGGUCGCGAACCUGCUACAAACUCCCGAAGCCAAAAUGAAUCCACUGCCUUGCAGUAAAAACCUGGUCUUAGUUUUAUUAUCGCAUUGCCAUUCAUGAUAUUAGUAAUGUUGCCUGCGCGAAUGUCUUGUGAACGGUAAUCUGAUCAAGGAAGUGUACACGCCGGGUGGUGUGAUGGUGCUCUGGUCGAUCAGUGACAGUUCUUGUCAACAUCGUGUUAAGUGAUUCGUUUGUGUUUUGUAAAUUUUGUGUAUUGAUGUUUACCUUAUGAUACACAGGCUGAUCGGGCGACUGGUCAGCGACACUGCCACCAUGAAGGCAGCCCUCCGAAAUGAGGUACGGAUGUACGGAUGUACGGAUUAUGAAAAAUGCCGUAUAUAUGCAGUACAUGUUGAGCAGGUAAUGUUGUAUGGCCGACAUCCUGAGUGACGAUGCGCCUCCUCUGGUGCAUGUUAGUUGCAUGCUGUACGACACAAAACAAUAGCGCGAGAACCAAAUUGACGUUGUCGAAAAUGUCCUCACGUCCUCAAGUCGCCAUUGUGCAUGUCGGACAGGGCAUGAAGGUGUGUUCGGCGGUGUCGUGGUCGUACUCGGUGGGCGGUAACUCUUUUGUCGGCGGCGGCGGCAGCGGCGGCUUAGGAGGAGGAGGAGGAGGAGGAUGGCGAGGAGCGACUCCUACAGAGCACCGGAGGUGGUGGGGUUGCGAAUGUGUAUGUGUGUGUGUGUGUGUGUGUUUGUGUGUGUUAAUUAUCUUCGGAGUCGCGAUAAGGCUCCCCUUAUCGGUGGUACACACGUACAACUUCAUACCGAAGCGAGCUCCGUAGUCUCCAGCGACGUGUUAGACGUCGUGUUGGGCGGCUAGAACCCUGUUUUAUUGUGUGCAUGUGUGCGUUUAUGGGGGGGAAGAAGAUGACACUUCGAGGGGAUGUGCCGUGCGCGGGGGGAUGGAUGCGUGCGAGGGCAUGAGGGCGAGGUCGAUGGAUGGCUGUGAGGACUUCGGUUCGCUCUCCAGCAGCGAUGGGCUGCAGAACUACAUGAUGAUGUGCUGUAUGCUGCCGUACGUCCCAGCAUUGCUACCGUUAAAAUCUGGUCAGCUUGAAACCUGCAACGAAGCUUAAAAUGGCGCUCUCUUUCUUCCCCAACCCCCCACAAACAAUAAUCCCUUUUCUAUUACUUUAUCAAUCGGUUACUGUGAAGUCAUGUUAAGAAACGGAGAAGUGCACGCGCGCCAGCUGUAACCACCAAAUUGACAACAGCAAAGCAGAUUUCCCUAUACUUCCGAGCGCAUGGCGCUGCUACUGCUACUGCAACUGCAACUGCUACUGCUGCUAUUUCUGCUACUGCUGCUGCACCCACUACAUGUGAUGAGCGCAUGCAGGUGGCAGCUAUACGUGGUUGACCAACAGCUGUGUCGCUGGCGACUGAAGGGCAGCUGAGGGAGGGGGGAGGGGGGAGGGGGGGGGGGAGGGUUCCGCCUCUGGACAUCUGGACCUCGGGAUCGGGAAGGGAGAUGAUGGUUUCGACCCGAAGCGCCACACCCGCCAACCGCCAACCGCUAACCCCCACUUGCUACCCGCCACUCGGCAGCAAAUACUCUUUGCUUCUGUCACGUGUCGUGUAACUCUGGUGCCCUCUCCGUACGAUUGCACUGCCGCUGCCUGGAGAGUUGGAAUCUCUUGAUUGAUCUGACUCACACAAGAUGAACUGUGGCGGUUGGCGGUUGGGGGUUGGCGGUUGGGGGUUGGCGGCUGUUUCCCCACAUUGGCCUUUAGAGCCCGCAAGAGGAUAAUACCGCUGUGUAUUCAGUCUGAUAGCCUUUCCCCCUCCCGCCCCACCGCGCCGCGUGUUACCGCGCUGCCUUGCUGGCUCUCUUGCUUGCUUCACUGACACCAUGCGUGUUUUUGUUACACGAGAGAGGGGGAGAGAGAGAGAGGCGCGGUGGGACCAGCAAGCAUGCAUACAUACAGACUGACAAGCCAGGGAGAGAAAAGGGUUUAGGAAUGCCGGCCACGGUUCGGGCACCUGAAGGGGGAAAGUAAAAUCUGUGGGAGAGACGUGGGUAUGCGUGUAUAUGUGUGUAUGUGUGUGUUGUUUUGGCGGGAAUCGAUGAUUGGAGUAGAGGUAAAAAACGGAAGCUACGGCGAGGACGCACACGCACAGCGCAGCAAGUAUGUGCCAGGGCCGCGGGCUGGAGCGGUGGCGGCGGGAGGGAGGUGAAGACAAAGGCCGCCAAGGGAAAAAAAAGGAUAACAUCUCCAUCCCAGCCCCUUUAAUACACGUAAUAGGGUUUAGCUUUUACGCUGAAGGCUUAUUAUUAAGACUACUAGGCUAUUGCAUCAAUAAUAUAAAAGGGCCGCGGGGUUUCAGAUUAACCCUCAGGCCGGCCGUCAUGUACGAGGGGACGGAAGUCGUUGUUGCUGCUUUUGGCGUUGUUGUUUCCAUUGCUGUCACUCGUUGCUAUCGGUCUGUGGGAGUAUUGAUUGUCUGUAAUGACUGUAGUGACUGUCCGCCGCGCACCCAAUCCGGCCACCGCACCAGUUCACCACAUACGCAGCUUACGGUCGUCCGUUUUUUGAACUGCGGAUGUACGGAAGUGCCAGCGUGUCCCAUUCACUCACUAACGUAGGGAUUAACACACACACACACACACGUGCGCGCGCACAAGCACACACACACACACACACACACACACGUGCGCGCGCACACGCACACAUGUGUACAAGGCAAGCAAAAGCUGCUCUGACAGACAGGUCUCUGCGUCUCUGCGUCCAUGAAUCCGGUUCCAUACCUCCCGAGCGCCUCCUAAAUGAAACCGCUUAAGAUAUAAGGUUAAUAUACGGUCACCAAUAAACUGUUAUUAUGUGUUUUUAACUUAGUAUGGAUAAUAAUAAUAAUAAUAUCCACUGCAUUAACUACACCAACGAAACCACGCAAACAGAAAGCUCGUAAAAAAACCGCACAGUCAGUUUGGUAGCUGUCGUACAGUACGGCACACACACAUCGUGUUUAGUUGUGAGCCAAGGCGCGCUCGCUCUGUCAGCAUCUUGAGAGGCCUUUUUCAAUUCAGCGGCCAUCAGCAGCAGCAGCAGCCAGACGAGCGAGUGCGCGAGCGUGCGAGCGAGCAGACAAACUCGGUCGGUCCCCUUACUUUCGACAUCCAUCAGCAGCAGCAGACAGACAGACGACUUUCGCGUAGCGCAAACAAAGAGCAGACAAAGAGCAGCUUCAUGUUUAUGUCCAACCUUCGCUAAAACAAACAUCACAUGUAGCAACGGUAGCAAAGGCACGGAUAAUGCCGUACAAUCAGAUACACAUCAUCUGCAGAUACUAACACUACUCUACUCCUAGACAGUCACCGACGUUACGUCAACACCGCGUCAAGCGCGUGCUGAGAAGGAGCUUAUCAAGAGCAGGGGCUUAUCAAGGUCAGGGCCCCCGUCGCGUCUUCCCCCUCUCGGCUCGGUAUCCACUGGAGCUCUCCACUUCAGCUGGCUGAGCUGCGGACACCACCACCAGGGGGGUAUAUCGUCUGCGCCGACUGCGCCCUUCACCAGAAUCGCACUAUCCUCGCGGCCGGCUCUUUCUUCUUCCACUCCAAGGGGAUUCGAAGCUCCGUCGUCAAGCAUUGCAAGGUGGGACUUGGCACUCGGUCAGGGGCGCAAUCCAUCGACAACUUACCGCCCCAGGAGAUGCCCAGACGGCGCAGGCAGCGGAGCAUGGCCAGGUCAUUGACGUGAACGGCUCUAAGGUACGCUGGACCGCCGUUGCGCUGGUGGGGGAAGGAUGGAUGGAUGGCAAAAGGAAGUGUGAGAGGGAGGACGGCAUCGACUGUGCGGGUGUGGCAACAUGCAUGUAGGGAUUCAUGCGUGCUUGGAUGAUGGAUGGAUGGAAGAUAGGUAGUUGUGCUUGGAGCUUCAUGGCAACCGGCUGAUAUGCUGGUACGGUGCAUGUAAAGCGCAAGUGUCCUUUUAUCAAUACAGCAGCAGCAGUAGUAGCAGCAGCAGCAGUAGCGGCAGCAGUAGUAGCAGCAGCAGUAGUAGCAGCAGCAGCAGCAGUAGUAGCAGCAGCAGUAGUAGCAGCAGCAGUAGUAGCAGUAGUAGCAGCAGCAGUAGUAGCAGCAGCAGUAGUAGCAGCAGCAGUAGUAGCAGCAGCAGAAGCAGCACCAGCAGAAGCAGCUUCUCGCAAGUAAGCGAGCAAAGGAUGGCAGCAAACCCUGAGCCCAAAUACCCACACUUGGCCCCCCUUCUGCUUGCCUACACCCCCCAAAACCCCCCCCCAUCCCACCCCCCCACACCAUCCGCACAUCACACAUGCGACACAACACCCCCAAGCAGGCAGCAGGACCAACCGGUAAGGGGCAGCCCCGCGCUAUCAGCCACUCCAACACCUCCUCGCAUCCGCUGAACGCCGCACUGCUCCAGACAUCUCGUGACCAGGUCCAGCCUCGUUCAUGAAGCCACGAUAGCAGCUCAACAUUGCCACUCUCCGCUGCCAGGUCCAACAGGUCAGGUGCCUUGCCCUGGUCUACACCCAAUUCAUCCACCGUCCAGGCCACCACAGACAGCUGGCCCCCGUUCGCUGCGUACUUGGAUAGCAUCUGCGGAUAAAGGCGGCUGCAGCGGCUCUCGUGAAGGUAUCGCAGCACAGAUAGACGGCCCUGGUAAGCUGCACACAUGAUGGACUCUUCACGACCUUCACUUGGCCGCACGUUCUUUUCGACAACCAGGAAGCGCACCGCAGCCGUGUUUCCCUUAGCCAUGGCUCUGUCCCACGCGCAUGCGUCAACCGGGUAGCCGCGACUGCACAGCCACUUCAGGCGGUCCAGCGCACCGUGUUUGUCUUUAAUACUGACGGCACUUUUACAUGCGGCAGCUGUACGGGGGUAGCCCUCUUGCUCCAGCCAUUUGACCUUGGCCUCCCAAUCGGAAGUGAGGCUGCAGGCAGCGGCUGCCAGUACGGCACCCCUCUGCCCCUGGCUGAGCACCAGCGGCGGUGGCGGUGGCUUCCCCGCCGUGCCAACUGCUUGCUGUGUGGGGAGCCGUUGAUGGUGGUGCAGUUGCUGCAAGGCGGCUAGGUUCAAACCCUCUGCGGCCGAGGCCAAGAGAUCUGCGUAAUCGCUGCAUUGCUGUUGCUGUUGCUGUUGCUGUUGCUGUUGCUGUUGCUGUUGCUGUUGCUGGUGCUGGUGCUGCGACCGGUGCUGCUGCUGCGACCGGUGCUGCUGCUUCUGUGAGAGCUGCUCCAGCAGCCAGCACAUGAUAUCUUCGUGACCACCCACAGCGGCACUGCACACAGCCUCCAUGUACAGAGGGCCCCCCUCGGCCACCGUCCACUCACAAACAUGGCGAUGCCCGGCUUUUGCUGCUGCAGCCAGGGCAUUGCCCCAGGGGCAGUUGCGCCGCCUUAACAACUUGCACACGUGCAACUGGCCAGCGCCUGCAGCUGCUUCGAACAGCUCGUACGAGGGAUUGAGACCAAUAUUGUUCAGGGCAACCUCCAGGUUUUCGAUGCUGCCGGUGGCUGCGGUGAGGGCAAGGAGCUUGAUUCGCUGCGGCCUCGUGUACCCGCGAAAGGCUUCCGGGUUGUUCCAGCGCAGCUUGAAGGCGUAAGGUGGUGAUGGCGCCGACAACCUUACAGUUUUACAACUGGAAAAUUGCUGUGCUGUUCUUUUAUCUACCUGUCGAAGCGUAAGUGCUACAUCGUUGGGUGUUAAGAAGCCAGCGAUGCACUGAACAAUGUCCGGCAACCAAAUGCUUGGACAUGUGGCGCCAUCGCCAACUGUGUUGCUCGAGUCGAUUUGUGAAAUUUCUGCCAUUUUGUCAAACCUUUACGCGUUAAAAUUUGUUGAUACUAAUCGCGUUGGGGGCGGGCAUUGUGUGGGCGGCGGGCGAAAUGAUUUUAUUCCAGUCUUUCCCUGUCCAGACGGCUGUAAGGGAUUUGAGACACAGUCAUUCGUUCUGAACAAUUAUUCUGUAUAAUUGAAAAAACAACUUCCUUGCAACGGGUUCUCUAAGCUGUACGAAAGAGCUGUACAUUUUCUGCUCUACACAUGCACACGAUGAGCUCGCAGGCAUUCAACGUAUGGUUUCAAAGUCACCGAUGGCGACAUGGCAAUACGUAAUGCCACCGGCCUACCACCAUCGCCUUUUCGUGCAUGACUCAUAGACUGGAAACAGCCGUACCAGCCAGCAAACACGUUCCCGCUUUCCGCUUAUUAUGUAUGUGAUGAGGUUAGGUGGUGAAAUGUACAUUGUGAAAUGGCCAACUGAGCGCACGGAUCAGAUCAUGCAAGGUGCAACAAGCGAGCCGAUGAGCCCAAGCCCUCAGUGCUAGCUCGGCAUCAGGGCCCGCCUUGGUGGGGAAAAAAUAGUAGGGUGAUGCCCUUGUCCUAGCCGCGAAUGAAUUCCCCUUUCGCUGCUCCUUUUCUCUCAUAGAUUCUGAUCACUAUUGGCUGAUCGCAUACGUCUCCCCUUCCUUUUAGCGGAAUAGCGGUGCGGUGCAGGAGGGCGUCUCUGGUUGCGUAGUGGUUUGUUCGGAACCCGGCUCAAAUGCAAACGAGUGUCUAAAAUGUCAAGAAAUGGAAUAGCGUCCAGCCGUACCGCUUGGCAUGCUCGUCCAUGUACAAGCACCAAACCCAGCCCACAUAUGCAACCAAUCCAAUGCCUGAAAUUCCAGUCCAUGCGAGCCAGCGCACACACGCACGCCAAGCCCCAUCUUCACACUGCUCCCCUUUUUAAGCAGCCCCUCGCACAAAUGUGUCCGGUCGUACUGUGCCGAAUAAAACAUCCGUACAUAUCGCCCCAAAAGUCAGGAGCGAAUUUUACCGCGCAGAUGCGCGCGUGCGAUUCUCAAAAUGUGCCUGUAAAAGUGUAUGUAAUUUUUUCGGCGAAAGGCCGCUCAUCAGGGCAUGUUGGCCGCAGUCACAAGCGGUAUGCAUCUCGGACUUUUGGCUGGCUGCUUAGCCUGAGCUGAAUAAGAUAUGAAAAGAUAUGAAAGCAUACAACGUAGCUUGCAAGGCUGGGCGCUUGAAACGGCUGCGGGAAGAGGAAGCGUUCAGGACAUCAGACAGCAAGAAGCACAACACCUGCUGGUAAACCACCGAGAAUAUCUUCAGUUGGGGACGUGUAGCUUUAGCCGGCGGGGUCGACCAUCAUACGCUUUGCGCAUCGCCAAUCCUGCUCUGGCCCAAAAGAUGGAGGCCCUCUACAUCGCGCAGUUCAAGGCCCGGGGGCCGGGCGGCUACAAUGUGCUGCGCGGGCCGCCUUCCGCCAGCCCGGCCUUCUACGCGAUGAGCCGGCAACGUGCCGGCAGCGCCCACACGCCCACCGCCGUGACAGUCCAAGACGAUGACGCCCCAGCCACGCUCGCCUAGCCCACACAGCAACUGGACACCUAACGCUUGACGGACAGGGUCCCACGAUUUCGGCGCUAGGCUUCUGGACAUUGGGCAGUGCUGUUGUAUUUGGGCACGAUCACACUUGGGGUUUCAUUCACGGUGCAUACAUGUCGGACUUAACUCGUGUGUGAACGGCGGCUGCGGCCCAUACGGACAGCAGCGCUUGGGAUGGUCUAUUGCGUGAGCGUUGGGGGAAAGGGGGUGGCCCGCUGCACUCCUUUCUAUGUCCGCUCGUCGCGUGCUCGGGGGCAAGUUGGUAGCGUGCGAGUUCACCCAUCAUGUUGCCUGUUCUGGCAUGGCCAUCCACGCGCAACAGGAAACUUGAACCUAGGCCUUAUUCUUCGUUCCUACAUCAUAGCGAAGGACCGACGCAACGUGGCCUGUGCACGCGCUGUUCCUGUGGUGCUGUUCUUGUUCUUCUGGUUGUUGUUCCUGUUGUUCUUGCAUACACGCGUGCGACGACAUGACUGCAUGUACAUUGUGCCGUGCGCCAAGUGCCCUGGAACCAGCUUCUACUCAUCUACAUUCCAUUAUGCCACUGCACUUGCCUCUCCAGCCUGGCCCCAUUCUGCAACUUACUAUCCAACACCAUACGGGCUUUAGAAACGCGGGCAGCUGCUUCACAAGGACCCCCCUAUUUACCUUGGCCAGCACAACACGGGCUCCAAAAAUCCUCAUAACACGGGCUUCUGCAUUGCACGCGGUAGGCGCUGUCAUAAAAUUCCUUAGGUCAGGGUUACUAUAAAGUACAUUCCCGCACACAUUUGCAUCAUGCCGUACCGACAAACGCGAAGGGGCAAAAACCUCCAAACGCAAGCAUGCAAGUCAAAGUUUCAUACGUGGCCAACACGAAGCCGCCCGCCUCGCUCCGCAACGUGAAGGGAACUCUCCAUCCUAAAGUCCUGUGAUCUUCAAAACCAACAAAAAAAACCUAAAACCCCAAUGCAGCCCCUCGCCUUGGAAGUAGGCUGCCUCCAAACGUUUAUCAAACCCUGUCUGAAAUUCGAGCAUCGACACAUCAAUGUAAUGAGCGUGCUGAUCUGGGCUUGAUACGAGGCCAUGGUGAUCCGAUUGGAGCGUGCAAAUGUUAUGUAUAUAAUGCAUCACCACCCACCCAAUUUCCAUCAAUUCAACCACCGACCCAACAGCGGCAGCAGCAGCAUAUGUCUGUUUUUAUGCGCUUCCUAAGCCAUGAGCGGCAAACGGAGAGAGAGCAUUUGGCUCUAUACCGGACCAACCACAGACCAAGAGGGACGAGUCUGUCCGCUUCAUUUCCAAAGCAAGAGGAGAACCGCUUGGGCGGUCGGCAGCGACUAUGCCGUAUAGCUAACCUUGUAGUAGCCUAACCGCAUCUCCCAGUCCUCGCUUCACCAUUAUUAAAAAACGUCCUCAAGUACAACAAACCGUUUUUGUACGGAAUGAAAAACGGUUUCGCUGUCGCAAAGAGCGUCAAAAAUAUUGCUCACAGCGGUUUCUUCUUUUGGGACUUGCUGCCACCUGGCUUUCGAGCACAGCACGUCCAAUCGCCAGUAAGAUGCGUUCUAGGAAGUAACCACCUGGGAUGGGUGGCAGACGAAGCCCAGGACCGUCAUCACCAUAUCUUUCAUCUAUUCAUCCCCGUCCUUGUCCUCCUCUUCCUCCUCAACAACCUCCUCCUCCAGCUGCUCUUGCCCGUCGGCGCCAGUCUCCUCAUCUCCAUUCACUUCCAUAAUCUCCUCCUCGUCAUCAUCGUCAUCAUCGUCGUCGUCAUCCAUAACCUCCUCGUCAUCCCCACCUUCCUCAGCUCCUCCGUCAUCCCCGUCAUCCGCCGCCUCGCCGCCGCCGGCCUCCGGUUUAUAGCUCGCAAGCGCCGCGACCUACACAUCAACACCGGGGCGUGUCCUUUUCAUACGCGCCAUACAUACAGGUUGUAGAACCUCAACGUACCGCAUGCAUCAAUCGACUCACAUUCCCCUGCGCAUGCAUAAUGUCGUAAUACACACAUAGACACACAGUAGAUAGGAGUUCUACGGAAAGGUCGGGAUUCUGUUGGGGCACACCACCCCUGUGCAGUGCACGGCCAGCUGGCCCGCUGGCUCUACUCUUCGGGAGUCUGGAGCCCAAUGUAACACACAGACACACAGUAGAUAGGUAUAAUGCCAUGCAGUCUUUUCCCCCCCACCCACCCUCUACCCACAUACAGCCCAUAAGCGGUUGCUUCUCCUUUCCACAUCAUCGUCGAAAAGGUGUAUAGCAUCACGCACUUCUUGGGAACACACAUGGACAUGGACAAAUGGCAUCCAGAAAGGAUUUCUGUCACAGGGAAGUAGCUGCCAGCUAUCAUUCCGGACAACAGCGCGACGACGAAUAACCCGUGAGUAGUAUACAUGCGACACGUCAAGACAGGCAGACAGACAGACUCAGACACAAACACCAUCUACGGAAAUGCACUCUCCUUCCACACCGCAAACGUCUUGAACGUCUGAAAGUAGUUUUAUUGUCUCCUGCAGAUUAUGCGUCCUCAACCUGACUCACUCACGACCAGACCCAUUAGACACUCCAUUACCUGCUUGUUGAGCGCUGUCAACGCCCAGAUCCGGUCCCUCAACAGCGCCACCACGGCCUUGCGCCGCCCCAGCAGUCGCAGAAUGGCAUGCUCCACCGCAAGACAGGAAAGAGUGUCCCCCGCCACCUUCUCAUGGAGAAUCAGUAGCAUCCCCACCGCCAUGUCCAGACCCUGCGCCGCUUCCUCACUACCGGGCUUCGCAAAUUGCAUGAGCGAGGCGCAAAGCGCCAGUCGCAGGUUGGCACCGAGAGAUCUGUUGAUUGGGUAUUUAAGAGUUAGGGGAGAAGGGAAGGAGGGAGGAGGAGUUGAAAGUUAAAGACAAAGCAUCGGAAAGGUGGAAAAGCAGUCAAGUUUAAAGAAAAAGGGCUAAAAGAGACCUAUGAUGGACCGGGGAGGAUGUGCAGGUGGUGGUGAACGGGCGGCGUACAGGAGGAUGUGCAGGAGGAGGCACUCGGUUUAAUAGAGGAAGCGACAGCAUUGGUUUUUGGAAUGGAGGCGUAAGGGUGGGUGAGGGUAAGGGUAAGGGUAGGGUAAGGGCGGGAAGGAGGAAACCGCCACUUGAAUGGUGGCGGUCAUGUCCGAAGGGAAGAAGAAAUUGUGUGAGGUGUGGAUAAUGUUAGGCAUUUACUGAUGCUUAUCAGCGUUGCAACAGAUAGGUUAAUCCAUAGUGCUUUGACAAGCCCCUGUGACAGUUUCCGGCGAUACCGGGUCUUUAUCGCUGGCAAAAUCGUUCUCCCUGCGCGCGCGCGCGCUCAACCCACCGAAAGUCUGAAUCCAAUGGGCUCUCUGUACCGUCAGGGGGUGCUCCUGGGCCCUCCACGUCCAAUAAAAGCUGGGAAACCACUGCAGCGACGAGGUUCCGGGUUUAAACAUGGCAUGACAGGAUCUGCUUAGGCACAGCGCAGCACAGUGUAGGCAAGUUUGCUUGCAAUUGCCUAAAGGCUUAGAUGGAGGAUGCUAGAAUGGGUGAUUAAAACACAAAGCGGUAACUUACGUCUCCUAUUGACAGGCGCUAAACCCACCCAUGAGCUCAGGAAAGCCAGGUGGCGCCUUGGCGGAUAUCAUGCGUGUGGCAGCUUCCUCCAUUGCAGCGAUGAGUGUUGAGAGCCGCUCAGUGUCGUUGAAUUUGUGAAGGUCCGUCAAGGUUUUCAGCACGGGAGUCUCAAUUAGACCUAGAAAGCCGCAGUCUGCGAGACCUUCGCACGCAUCCGCAACUAUCGCAGCUAAUUCCUCACGCUUCGCAGCGGCCAUGGUUGAUCUGGUCGGCUUCACUAAUUCGGUUUGAAAGUUCCGGGAUACGCCCAAGUAUUUUCACAGAGAGAGGAUUUUCACAGCAACUUUAGCCUGGUGUUGCAAGUUGUAACGAUGUGAAGGCGAUGACAAUUGGAAGGCUUUUCUAUUCGCGCCCAGUUGCCGUACUCAUUGUUUCCCGAGGUACAGGCUAUGACGCGCAGAAACAUCGUGGUGUAAUCUAAUAUAGUUGAACACAGUAUCCUGCAAGGAACUGGUGGUGAUCAGGCGGCAAGUGUGUGCAAGGAAGCCAUGCAAGUACUCCAAAAUGAAAAGGCAUUCUCAGCGCGCAAGAACGCGCGAUGCAACGCUAUAUACAAUCGGCGUUUUGUUGCAAUUAGGGCGGCUGUCGGGGCUGCACCGCCAUCCUCUGCCGCAUAUACGACCAAGCACACACUGCCGGAUGGAAAGAAGCUGGAGUUGCUGGUUCAAAAAGCCGUGGUGGGUGACAAAACGCUUCGCAAUACUCUCUGUAAUGCUUUACGAAAAGGUUAUCCACCCGGGCAAUUAGUGCCCAAGGCUACAGCCCACAUCCCCAUGACACGUUAAUAGUAUGGCAUAUUGCUGCACACAGUUCCUGAUCCCCCAUUCGCAGCCAAGCACAAGAUGUUACGGGAAUAAGAGAAAAGCAUAGCAGAGUUUUUGAGGGGUUAACUAGAGCUACACGCAAAUCACCAUUCCUCAACAACUCACCUGCAGCGCCUCUAUACACGAACCCCCCCUCCUCCCGUCCUGCCCUUCUUUGUCACUCUCGCCACCAUUUCUACCCUUUAACCCGCAAACCUCCCUCCACUGCCCUUGCAACCCACCAGCAUUGCGGUACUUUCUUCCAAAGCUCCCACCCUCAAAAUCUGUACGAUCCCCCCCCUUCCAUUCCCCCUACCCCCACAACUCGUUGGUGCUUUGGACAAUGGUAUUGGCAGUUGACUCUUUGCUUCGUUUCAUCUUGUCCUGCUGCACGACUAAAACAAAGAUAAAAUGAAAUAUAAAUCUUUCCAAAUCUAAAAUAAUAAGAUCCUGCAUCACGUGAUGUCCCCACUCCCAACUACCUGAUGCCGUUACCGUUACCGUUACCGUUGCACCUCACCAGAUCAGUUUUCCUCGUCUCCUUCCUCACCCUCCAGCUCGUGCGCCUUCCUACCCCAACUGACGACAUUUCUUCCAUCAAGUCGGCACACAUCUUCUGUCCAUCUUCUUUCUUUUCUUUCCUUUGAAGAUGCGUUCUGCACCCUUAAAACCGCCUUUUUAACCCCACCCUACCUCACCUUUACCUCCGCCUUAUACCCGUCCCCCCAAACACACAAACAUGCAUACACGCAGGUCAGAUCUUCUUCCUCCUCCCCAUCUCGCCAGCCCCCGCUGUUGUUCGUACACGGCUCCUACCAUGCAGCUUGGUGCUGGCAGGUGAGGUUGGGGAGAGGUGAUGGAGGGGGCAGCAGUCAACCAGGGGCAUGAGGACUUGAAGGGGAGCUGGUAAGAUAUGAAUGUACGACGAGUUCAAAUGGUGACGUGCCCCCAGGAGAAUUUCAUGCCGUACUUCUCGACCCGCGGGUACGACACCUACGCCGUGAGCCUUCGCGCACAAGGCGGCAGCGAUCCAGCGCCGCCCGGUCAGUCCGUGGCGGGAACCCUGGACAUCCACGCCGCCGACCUGGCGUCGCUGGUUCCUGUCGUACAGCAGGACUCGGCGGCGUCUGGAGGUGGCGGCAGGGCGCCCGUCGUCAUCGGACACUCUUUCGGCGGCCUGAUUGUCCAAAAGUAAGAGCUGCUGUUGCUGCUGGUGGUGGUUUCUUCGGAGUUGAUGAUUUCUUGAUAGUGGCGUGAUGCGCGUACAACUCCCCUACCGACAUACCUACCGACAUACCUGCUCACCCUCGUUAUUCCCGCUUCCCAUCGUCGCGUUCGCCACUUGCGGUACCAAAUCGCUGCACCUUUUUAGCACGCUUGCAAGACGUCUUCCAGGGUUCGAAGCGCAUGAGUACAUGAAUACACCCCAACGACAACUCCGGGUGCUUGUGCCCCCAUCCUGGAGGGGCGUGUGGGCGCUCCCAUGGGCCUCUCCCAACGUCCUGCACAGGUGCUGCAGGACGGCUGCAGCAGCAGCAGCCGCCACCGCCACCGCCACGGCCCUCCGGAUGUCCCCUCUGCCGGCCCCCCUCUGGAACCCCUCAAACCACGAUCCCUCCUGCAGCCGCGAUGUGUUAAAAACUGAAUACAAAGUACUGAACAACCAGGACAAUAUAUUUAUAUAUAAUCCUUUUUUAAUAAAAAAUCUUUAAAAUGAAGAUAUAUAAUAUGUUUUUUAUUCCUGACAAACCAAAAGCAAACUCUGUCUCCCUUUUUGCUCCCUUACCAAGCUUUCCUCUCCACCCACCCUUUUACCCGGCUUUGGCUGUUGCAGGUACAUCCUGGGUAGCGCCGCGACGUCCUCCCACUGCUCCUCCGCCUCCCCCCCGCCGCCGCCGCCGCCGCCUGGGCCUACCCCCGGGUCGUUCCCGCCCCUCUCCGGAGCGGCCUUCCUGUGCAGCGUGCCCCCCUCCGGCAACAAGCAGAUGGUGAUGCGCUUCCUGAGGAGAGACCCCAUCAUGUCGCUGAAGCUCACCUGGUGGGGUUGACUGCUGCGGCUGCUGCUUGUGGUGGGGGGGGGUGGGGGUAGGAGGAGUUGUUGUUGUUGUUGCGGAAGUGGUGUUGGUAGUGGUAGCUGUGGUAUAACAAGAGGCGAAAAAGACUGAGGAGGUGGAGGAGGUGGAGAGAAAGGAGGAGGAGGGGUCAACUGGCGGCUGACGUCCAAAGUACCGGAAUGCUAGAGGGAGGGUGGGAGGAGGAGGAGGAGGAAGGUGGGAUGUGGGAAAAACACGUCGCAACAGCAACAACAGAGGUUGUUGGAACUCCAUGGAAAUUGGCUUUGUGGAGCAGAUUACAGUUGGUGGAAGUUUUAGAGGAGGUAAAAUGUAGAGGGUUUGAGUUUGAUACCGAUCUCAUCGGCCUCUCUCGCCUGCGAAUCCCCCGUUUCCUCCUCCCACUUCCCUUCUGCGAUCCGCUCCUUUCUCCCCCCCCUCCCCAAACCCCCCGCCCCCAGGGGUUUUAUCGCCCGUACCUUCGCCAGCAGUCGUACUGCCUGCCGAGAGCUGUUCUUCUCCAGCGACCUCCCGGAAGACAAACUGGACAGGUGGGAGGCAAUGUGUAUGUUUGUAUGUAUGUGUUACAUAUCGAUCGGGGCCUGACGCUGGCCAGGGGCACCUGACCGUAUACCCCCAAACGGGAACGGUUACCGCCGAAGCACUUUCCUCCUUGUGGGGUAUGUAUGCAUGUAUACAUAUGUGUGUAUGUAUGUAUGUAUGUAUGUAUGUAUGUAUGUAUGUAUGUAUGUAUGUAUGUAUGUAUGUAUGUAUGUAUGUAUGUAUGUAUACUGAGUGUUAUUACUAGAAUGAGGAUGAUGGAGGAUAGAUGGGAGGGUCUUAUCCCACAGGAAAUGGAAAAACACUCCGUGUGCCAUUCUUCUCUAAGACCCGUCGGGGCCAUGCAUCCCGUUGAUUCUCUGAUGCAUACGGCACCUUGCGUGUACGGCAUCUAACGGCACCCCGCAUGCACGUGUCGCAGGUACCAGAAGUUCCUCGCGGCAGCCAGCCCCACUCGCCUCCUCGACCUCAGGUGCGUGCAUCUGCUGAAUACCCCCCUCCCCUCCCCCCNCCCCCCCGUACCUCCUGGUACACUCUUGCCCUGGCAGCAGCUUCACUCGUUUGUGGUUCGUCUUUGCCCCCGUACCUCCCCCCUAAGCGCCCCUGUGUACUCUGGACAUCAGUCAGCAGCCGGAAUCCCUCCUCGCUUUCCCGCCGCAUACAGUUUCCCUCUCCCCUCCCCUUCCUUCCCCCCUCGUCAUUUUGGUCACAUCGUUCGCCUGCUAGACAUACAUCCCGCUUGGCGACCUUCUCACAUGUGUGUAUGUAUGUAUGUAUGUUUGGGGGGGCCCGGGCCGAUACUCAUACGGUGAGUGGGCAUCGCCCGCCGGGGGGCGCUGCGUGUAUCUGUGUGUUUUGUGUCGUACAUGUGCCACAUGCGGGUCUCGGGGGUGAUUCCGGAAGUGAAAUAGCUUCCUGGCGGCCCUCAGCUGCCGCCGCCGGAUUCUUAACCUGCCGCCAUUGCCGCCGCCGCCGCCGCCGCCGUCACUGCCGCCGCGUGUUCAGGGACAUGAACGCGCAGGUGCCGCUGCCACCACCGUCCCCUCACGCACCCCCCGCCUUUGUGUUGGGAGCCGCGCAGGACACCGUUGUGGAUCCUGAGGCCGUACAGGCAAGCGGUUGGGCGCGGGGAGGAGUGAGGGUUAUAGAGACCUGCUGCAAGGCCCCCCCACACACACACUACUUUGCUACUCUCUUGCUCUGGCAGCAGCUUCAAUCGUGUGUGGUUCGUCUCCCCCCCACACACACACACAGCCCCCGCGCACUGUGCACUGCCCCCCCACACGACGACAUAAACGCGCAAACGCGCUUAAGCUGACACAUACAUGCAUACAUGCAUAUGCGUGCGUGCAAGCCCUUCAGUCAGGAAAAUGGUGGGGAAUGUCUACAGCCAAUACGUAUACACAUAUACAUAUAUGCACAUCAAUUAUGAACCAAUAUACUACUAUAGUUUGAAGGCGCUAUCCACUACUACACCAUUACCUAUCUACAUCCGCAUCAUCAUGGCGCAGUCUGCGUAGAGGCCAUCAACACUAUCCAAAAGAUGUACGACCCCUUCCCCGUACACAACCCUGGCCUGUGUGUGACCGCGUCCCUUUUUCCAAUUCAUGAGUAUGACUGUUUUGGUACGGUUUCCUUACCCCGUACGAAUAAAGGAGCUGGCGUCGUACUACGGUACCCAGGGCGUCCUGCUGCAGGACCUAGCGCACGACUGCAUGCUGGUGGGUGCCGGGCUGUGCGUGUGUCUGUAUGUAUAUGUAUAUGUGUGUAUGAAAUGAAGGCGCGAGGAGGGGAUAGAACACGCCAACAUUGCCGAGAAACUGCGGAGGAUUGGGGCUUUGGAGGGGGGGGAGACGGAAGAGGUGGUGGUUUCGGAGGGGACUUGGAAGUGGCGUGUGUGGAGUUCGUUAUUGAAUCGCAUCGAUAAGGAGAAGGUACCGCGGUGAUGCAUAAUGAUAAUGCUCAUAAUGAUAAAUGUUGGUAUCGUGUUGAAUUUUUGAAAAGUAUGACGAUUUUUUUCUGUACGGUGUAAAAGCUCACACAGCAUAAUACGAACUGACUGGCUACAGGACGAUGUAUGGGUUUUAGGGUUUACUGGUUGCCUGUUGAGGACACCGUCCGUCCGCGUUUCGCCCUUACUUCUUGCCUUCUGUUUCCCAAACGCUAUCCGGGCAUACUUAUAAAUGCCGCUAUAGCUGCUGGUGCUGCUGGUGGCGAAAAAAACGUUUUUUAAAUAACCCGUUUUGUUAUUUUGUUGCGUUUUCGCCCUCGCGUGUUGCCUGAUCAGGACACCCGGUGGCAGCGAGCGGCUGCAGAGCUGGAGACCUGGCUGGCUGCGCUGUAAGGUAAGGAAGUGGCCUCAGAGGGGAGGUGAGGAAAAGGGGGGCAUGUAAGAUGGGGAGGGUGAGGGGAACAAGGGUGAGGGGGCAUGAGGAGGAGGAGGAGGCAGCCCCGCAGCCCCAUGCGCGAGGAGUGGACAGGGGGGUUGGAAGGAGGAGGGCCUUGGUGGGGCGGGCUGGAGCUCUGGGACGCUGGCCUGUGGCUGCUGCAAACACUAAUCCUUUGAGCUUUGAGCUUUUUUUGUCCUUUGUGGCCUUUGUAUGAGCUAUAAGCUUUCUGUGCCUUGCCUCCUACCCGUACACCCCGAGUCCCUUCUGUUUCCCCUUCAGCUCCUUUCCUGAUUCGUUUCUUCCUCGGCUCGGAUUGUUUGUUGGGCUUGUUCCACCAGAUUGAGCGCGUUGUGUGCGGAGGCGAGUUGGCGGCGCACUGCCCCAGCGGGGGGGGGAGGGAGAGAAUGGUGUGUUGUUGAAGCCACGACCCGGCGCUGGAGAACAUGAACUUUACGGGUUUAAGAUGGAGCAGCAGGUGGAACUGCACGUGUGUCUUGUUUUGGCAAUCAGCCUGGCUGGUUAAAGGGCCGUGGAAAAAGCAGCAGGAUUUUGGAUUUCGCUUAUAUUGUACGUUCCUACAUUGGAAGAGCAGAGGAGUAUUUCAGAUCUCAAGUCGCCGCCAUUUUAUUUUUGUUAUUUAUUGGACUUCGCGAUACUUACCUUCCGAAAGGGAAGCCGCAAGCCCUUUUCAUGGCAAAAACGGGAAGUUUUGACGAUUGAGACCCAGAAAAAAAACCAAGCCACGCGAGAUUUGUUUUGUAGAUGUGAUGUCAGAAUGGCGGGUGAAGGCCUUGACCGGUUGGUUUUCAUUUUGCUCUGCGUCACCAUUCGGUACUUUGCUGAACAACAAGAGGGUUUCCCACACUCGUCAACAAGUAUUAAGGAUUAGCACAGGGUUUUCCUGCUGUGGUGAGUACCAUCGCCCGUGUAUCGGGCGGCUGUGCUGAAAGAGUUCCCCAUCACGAGAGUUCCCCAGCAACCCCGCGGUAUACAUCUGUGCAGCACAGCAGCAGCAGCAGCAGCAGGUUCCUUAGAUCACACCCUCAUCCCAUCCCUCCCUCCCUCCUGCCAACCUGGAACUUGUUUAAUUAACCAUUCGUUCACCUGGCCCGUCCCGCCACCAUCGUACAGUCCUUUUGUCGGUAUGCCGCAGCGAGAAGAUGUACAUCCACACGCGCCGGAUACGGUCAUACUUCUGUACGACAAGUACAGUGUUUUGUUUUCCCUUCCCUUCCCAGUUGCUUCCAACCGACCAACUUGUCAAUGUUUUUUCACUUCCUGCAACUUCUCCCGCAUUACCUGGAUUUACAUGUUUCCAAAAUUUCCCCCAAAUUCCAUCCAUCCGAAGCUCUGGAAGCUUCCGGCUUAAAGCAUUCCUUUCCUCCACCCAACCCAGCAAACAGCAACCCUUCUCCACACAGCUCGACAUCAUAUUUUUCCGGCAUUUGUUGUGGCCUGGCGACAGACACACACACACACGCACACAUACAUGCACAUAUACACGCACACACAUACAUGCAACACGAUGUGCGUGUGCGCAUGUGUGUAUAUUGCCGUGACUGUACGGCCGGUACGGUCAACAAGUGACUGUACGGCCGGUACGGUCAACAAGUGACCCGCCGUGUGUAUGUUGUACAUCCUCACGCAACGUCCUAAACCCUCGUCAGCAUCACCCGAUACACGGGUAAUCCCUGUUGCGCCACAUAAUGCUCUCUCUCCGUGGGUGUACCCACGGGAUUGUCCACAAGCCAGCCACCCUUGGCCCACUCCGAAACCAUAUUGAGAAUGUCCUCUUCGUCGGAAUCGCCGUCCACCCCCAUUAUGUCGUCAUCGCCGCUUACGCUGCCUUCCUCUCCAGCGGCCAUGUCGCCGUCGUCCGUAUCCGCAAGUACGACACCCACCUCAGUUUGCCGUACUCCCGCCGCUGGCGCCGUUUGGUCCCCUGCGGCGGCAGCGGCGGCGGCGCAGCCGUGGGUGUCGACAUCCCGUGCUUGCGUCGCUGCUGCCCGAUGAACGGUCGCCGGGGCCGUUGUCGACUUCGUCGCUUCACCGCCAUCACGGAUUGCCUGGCCCUGUAGCUGCUGCUGCUGCUGUUGUUGUUGUUGUUGUUGUUCCGUGCCGCGUCGGCUGAAGAACACGGCACACUGGCUGUGUUGGGGAGCCAGCGUGAAGUCCUCCCCCGCGUACUUUUCAAACAUGUUCACCAUGGCCACACAUGCCUCCUCGACAUCGGACUGCAGCAGCAGCCUACCUGAGGUCCGCAAGAGGUGGCGUGGUGAUGUGUCAGCGCGCACAUGCAUACGGUGGGUUUGGGGGGAAGAGCAGGGCCCCAAAACCAGGUGUGUCUCAAGAGCCAUUACCCGGGACGGCGCUCGCGGUUAAGGGGAUGGGUUGCAGGAAGCGGGUGGAGAGGCGAAAUGGAGGCGAAAAAGAAAUCUCGAAGAGGGCAAAACAGAGGGCAAGAAAAAGGAUUAAAGCCUGCACGCUCAUCGCUGACCGCGGGUGGAGCGGUCUGGGUUGGGGCCUGAGAUCCAGACCUGCUAAGGUCGGUGGGGAGGCUUGCCUCCCGUCCUGGAGAACAUCCCGCCCUCUACCCCACCCAUCCCACUCCCAAGUCCCCAACCUGGCUCCCACCUCCCCGCGGCAUCAAGUCCCGGAGCGCGGUCACUAACUGGGGUUGAACCACCCGCCGCUUGUGGUGGCGCCGCUUGAAGUGUCUGGGGAGGGAUGAGGGGGGAAAGACGAACCACGAACGAGUGAAGCUGCUGCCAAGGAAAGAGUGAUGAGGGGGAUGAGGGGGAGGGGAAGGCAGGGAAGGGGAAGGUCAGGCGGAGUUGGGCUUGAGAUUAGCUGUGGGGGCUGCCUCACAGCGACACAUGCACGCCACGAACGAGCGUCUAUUUCUGUCACUCUCUCUCUCACAAACUCUCUCUUCCCCCCUUCGUGGAAAGGUCUAACAUGGAGCCCAUUUGAACUGCCCUCUUGUCAUCACAGCGUCACAGGAGCCCCAAGUCAAGUAAGCGACCCACGGGUCAUCCUAACCCUCCUCCCAGCCCCCACACAGGUGACCCACGGGUCAGGGAACUGAAUGAACACGUCGGUGAUGGGUCCGGGGUAGCUGCCCAGCAGUGUCGUCAGACUGACGGUGGCGUUGCUGAACAGGUAAUGCACUCGACCUUGGAGUCCGAGUCGACUGACCCACUCGUUGGAUCGGUCCACGAGCUGUGGUGGCGGUGUGGGCGGUGUGGGCAAAAACAAGGGCGGAAGAGAAAAUAUCUUCAGCUGCAAAGUGCAGAAAGCAAUAACAAAAACUGCCAAGAUAAACAUAAACAGGAGAGGGGGUAAGAGGCUAUUGUAAAGACAUUGAUAGGAGAGAUGAAAUGGGGGCAAACACGGCCGAUAAGGCGGCACGGCAUAAUUAUAGUCACGGCGGUGUAUAGGAGGGGAAAAGUGAGGGGAGGCAAGUGUGAGUGUGGGAAGUGCAAGGGAAAAUGGCAAAUUGACAUUGUGUACUGUAUGAGGCCAUAUUUUCCGAUUGUAUGCGCGAUCCCCACAGCACACGCACCGUACGGCGGAUCUCCAGACCCAGGUAGUUGACUUGUUGGUCAGGGUUAUUGCGCUGUAGCAGCAACAGAAAACGGCCGUAGCCGCUGCCGAUGUCCAGCGCCAGGGGUAAGGAGGGGUCGGAGAAUACGGCACUCCAGUCGGGUGCCGCCGUCGGUUGCUGAAACUCACGACGUAGGGGGUUUACGUGUUGCCGUACGCGCGUCUUGCCGAUCUGCAUCGACAUCGGCGUCCAAGCAACCGCUGUUGCUUUGGAAAGAGAACCUCAAGGUGAGGCCCUCAAAGUGAGGACCUCCGGGGUUUCGGGGUUACACGUAAUAAAGAAAUGCCGAUCGCAAAUGGUCGCAAAGGCGUGGAACCCGCGGAUUGCUUGCGCUAUCUGUACGACACACGCACACACAUUUCCGUUGUUUCAGUUGUUGUUGUCCUCCAGGGGGAGGGGGCAGGAAUCCGAAGAAGGGAGAGUCGAACAGUACACGCACACGGAAUCAUUUUGGCUGUCAGAUGUUUUUUCGAGGGGGGGAGGACGAGGGAGAAAUCUAAUUGGCCCAGAUCUGGAUAGGUAGAGGGACCAAGACUUGUGUGACCCAGAUCAGUUCUCAAGACGGUAAUUGAGGUGUUGGGUUUGUACUGUUUGAAGCUUCCUGCCGUGUCUGCUGUCUGCGGCGGCGGCGUGUGACUAAACGCCGUAGCCAGACGGCAAGACGAACUUCGUUUGCGACCUGCUUCCUUGAAGGAGCUUUCGAACGCUGUACAGCAGAAGUUGUUAGGGCUUGUAAACCCGGAAAUCACAGGGUGCCUGGUCCGGCCCGCUGCGCACUUUUCACAGACUCCUGCUCAGCGGCUGAUGCAGUCUUGCUCAGGCAGGUCUUUUGCCGCGGACGAAAAUGGGACGGUUCGCCCAAUCUUACCCCAUCCCACAGCUCCAUCAAAUCUAGUUCGCGAAAGGGCGAUUCGCGACUGUCCGCGGGCUUCACCGUCAUCCAUGUUGGACGUGCAGGUGCAGCGCUGUGUACGACGACACCCUGCAAGCCCACGCUCCCCAAGUUAUUCAUCGAGGAGCGCCUAGUUGUAAUUAAUAUCAGUUAUAACUUUUCAUCCUUUCUGUGCUUAAUAAGCUCGCGUUGAAAAUGACGCACCAAUCUUCCAGCCCGGUCCAUCGCGCCGCCGACAAGGCGACACACAUAGCUACCAGUUUGCUUCCUGGAAAGGCUAACAAUGUGGGGUUUGAAGGCUUCCAUGUAAAUUGGGUGAUGGGCCAUGGUCUGCACGGCGGUUGAUUAAUGCGUCCUUCCAAGCUUGACUUUAAUCUCUACAUCUGUACUAGGACUUCAUACAUGAGGGCAAGCAUUGGCAACCGUUUGGUUCACAAAUUGAGCUGCAAGGAUGCAGCCCGUCUCCCUCCACAUUCCUCUGAAGUCACGGCAACGGUCUGUACAACACCUCGGGAGCAUAUAGCUAAAAAUCUCGCCAGCGCAAUCAGGAUCAAAUAGAAGGACCCACAUAUUUUUAUGUCAAGCUGCUGAAACUUUAUUUAGUUGGUGCAACGAACUCGAGGCUUAGCACUAAAAAUCCAAACGCCCUCCCUAACCGCUCGCAGUCUAGCAGUUCAUUAAGCUACUUACACGACUGGAAAGAUGUUGGAAGCAUUGUUUGGAAAAAAGAAGACCCCCGCAGGUAGCUGUCGCAAGAGAGCUAGCGGAACGUGGCUUCCUUGUGCUGCUUUAAAGAAGGUUACGCUCUCGCCUGCUGACCUCUCAACAUUCAAUUUUUUUGCGUCGUAGAGAUGCUUAGGGAGAACAAGCGGCAGCUUGAUAAAGCCAUCCGGGAGCUCGACCGCGAGCGAAUGGGCUUACAACAGCAGGAAAAGAAAACUAUCAUGGAGAUUAAAAAAAUGGCCAAAGAAGGGCAGAUGGUAAGCCCUGGGUACGAGGAGUACACCGGCCCGAUGGGGCUUACUUCUAUGUACGACCGUGUACGGGAUGCAUGCCGCAUUUGCCUUUCCAGCACCCGCGUGACGCAGCAGGAAUGGUGGAUUGAGGCUAAGGUCAACGCGUCAAAAGCUGCCGCGCACGCAACGGGACGGGGACUGUUUUUGUAACCCCUCGCCUCAGCACGCUCAGCCAAAAACGCGCUACCCAUACUCACAAACUGCCUCUCCUGCAAUGGCGCAAUGCAAAGACGUGUGGUUUCAAUUUCAACGUCAUGCCACAUAUAUAGGACGCGAUGUAAUGUCAAGCUUUGCCCGACCACCAGCCCCCAGCAGGCCUCCGUGUCCAGCCCAUGUCCCCCAACCUGGAGUUGGUCCUCAACCCAACGUUGCCCUCCUCACCUUCCCUGCCUGCCCCGCCGCCCUGCCCACUCCCUCACCUCAUCAGGACGCGGUCAAAGUGAUGGCGAAGUCCCUGGUUCGAAACCGCCACGCGGUGACCAAGAUGUACGGUCUCAAAUCGGAGCUGCAAGCGGUAUCGCUGCGACUAGCGGUAAGAUGGCAAAAGCCACCAGCUAACGCAUCAACAGCAAGAGCACCAGAAAAUCGGGGCCAGUAACAGCCGGAGCAGUAAGAUGAACCAGCAUUUGGAAAUUUUUUAGGGAAUAGGAACAAAUUCAGGUGGCACGGUGGCCUCUCUCCAUCCUCCAUGAAGAGCCGUGGUGUAACUACCUGUGGGGAUCUCUCGGGUCGAAUGGAACCCUCUUCACAGCGCCACCUGCUGGGCACCACCUCCCCCCACACGCCUUGCUCGGAUGUUGUCUCUGGGUCCCUCCCCGGCCCUCCCCCGCCCUCACCCACGGGUCCUUGUCUUAUCCUACAGCUAUCCGUUUACCUCUUCAGUACGUACUUCAGUCGUCAGUCGGGGUUCGUCUUACCCCCCUCCCCCCCCGCUUCCCUUUCUCGUUAUCGACUUUUCUUAUGGCUUCUAUGGCGUCUUUUUUAUUAUGGUCUAUGGCCUCUUUGUCAUCAUGGUCUAUAGUCUCUCCAAAUUGAAGUUCCCUUCCCCUCCCGAAUGACGACGGUCGUCUUCCGGUCCCUCAUGGGAUCUUCCUCCCAUGGCCUCCCUUUCGCUUCCCCCUCCCUUCUUCUCCGCAAACUCCACGCAUCCUCUCCCCCCUCCCCCCUUUUCUACGUCUGGUACACUCUUGCCCUGGCAGCAGCUUCACUCGUUUGUGGUUCGUCUUUCCCCCUCCCCCUUUCCUCGCACGCAGACCCUGAAGUCCACCCAGGCGAUGGCGGAUGCGAUGCGUGGGGCGACCAAGGUACGUCUUUCUUGCCAUCCGCGCAGGGGUCAGGUCACCCUUCCUGGGGUUGACCCACGAACCUGGCUCCACCCAUUAGCUGGCCAAGACUAAGGAUGGUCCGCCAAGGCUCGCCUCCGUGUACAUGUAGCCCGUUACCUGUGACAUGUUCUCAAUUUAGGGGGUCACAAAGUCGUCACAACAAAGCCCGAGGGGGAACCCCGCGGCAGUUCAUAGUUGCCGCUAAUGUGGCGCGAGCCGGCCGGGGUUGCCUGGCUUAGCUCAUUAAGAGGCGAGUUGGCGAGCCGGAGUUGGCGGUCGUGGGUAUAGGCCACCAAGAAAGGCUCUGUAAGGGGGGAGGCGGCGGCCGGAGCGGAGCAGCACAAGCUGGGCUGGGACCAUUAGGGACAGGGACAGGGGGGAGCGGUGUGUGUGUAUGUAUGUAUGUUUGUAUGUAUGUAUGUAUGUUUGUUUGUAUGUAUGUAUGUAUGUAUGUAUGUAUGUAUGUAUGUAUGUAUGUAUGUAUGUAUGUAUGUAUGUAUAGAACCCCAACCGAAGGAACGAGGGCGCGACGAAGCCACGAUUUACCGCCUGAUGCCCUCUUCAGUCAUGGAGGAGGGCAGGGCACCCAGAUCUGCGUGUUGUCAAUGAACUACAAUGAGCCGCGGGGCCAACUGCCGGGGGAAACUGACGGGGGGAGGGAAAUGGCACGCGAAUGCAACUUUAUUUCCGUGCCCCUGUGUGUGUAUGUAUGUGUGUGUCUUUGUGGCGCUGUGUGUGUUUCUGUGUGUCUCUCUGCCGCCGCUGCCCCACAUCAUGCCCCUGCAGGCCAUGCGCGCCAUGAACCGGCGCCUCAACCUGCCCAACCUACAAACCAUCAUGCGGGAGUUCGAGCGACAGAACGAGCGCAUGGAGAUGACCAGUGAAAUGAUGGGGGAUGCGGUGGACGAUGCGCUCCAGGUAGGAUGGGGAGGGGAAGAGGGAGGGGGAGGGGGGGGCAGUUUCCAGAUUUGUUGCGCUCCUCUAUCUAGAUCUACCGGGUGUUAUCUGCCUGCUGCGGCGGCUGUUGCUGCAGCGGCUGUUGCUGCAGCGGCUGUUGCUGCAGCGGCUGUUGCUGCAGCGGCUGUUGCUGCAGCGGCUGUUGCUGCAGCGGCUGCGAUUUUGGAAGCUUUGUUGAACUUGCGUUGAUCGGUUUGGGUUUGUAGGCUCGUUCUUUGCUGCAUGCCUCCGGAGUGGGGUAGUGGAUCAGCCUGGGGUUAUGGUGACGCUUUUGGACUGUGUAAUGUCUUGUAUGUCUUGGCGCCUGGAGAUAAUGCCUAUAAGAAAUGGGUGCGGCAUUGUUGCAAACGCCACACGGCCACGUCGAUCAUCUAUUUUUAGAGCCCAAUCACCCCGUGUGCAGUAGUACUGAACUAUGCUGUGUGGCCUCGCCCUCGUGUGCCGUGCGGUGCCGUACUACGUCAUGCCGUACAGGACGAAGGCGAGGAGGAGGAGACGGACAACCUUGUUAAUCAGGUCCUUGACGAGAUCGGCAUCAGCAACAUGACUGAGGUGCGUCAAGGCGAAAAAAACAAAACCGUUUUGGAGGCGAUGAACGUUGCUGCUGUUUGCUGUGUGGCAAUUUGGCAAAACCGCAUCCACUCGCUCGAGCGGUUAAUCUACGCGAACAUAACUCCUUCACAACUCCUCCGCAGCUAUGUUCAACAUUGUCUCCCCUUGUCGGUCUCCCCCAAGAGCCCCAGAGGCACCAUUUCCCUCCUAAUGUUUUGGAUUUUUGCUGCAUGCUAUUUGCCGCAUGUGAUUUCCUCCCUCUCACUCCCCUCUCUCUCUCUCUCUCUUCCCCUCGUGCCGCAUGUGAUUUCCUCCCUCUCACUCCCCUCUCUCUCUCUCUCUCUCUCUCCCCCCUCGUGCCGCAUGUGAUUUCCCCCCCUCUCACUCCCCCCCCUCUCUCUCUCUUCCCCUCGUGCCGCAUGUGAUUUCCCCCCUCUCACUCCCCUCUCUCUCUCUCUCUCUUCCCCUCGUGCCGCAUGUGAUUUCCCCCCUCUCACUCCCCUCUCUCUCUCUCUCUUCCCCUCGUGCCGCAUGUGAUUUCCCCCCUCUCACUCCCCUCUCUCUCUCUCUCUCUUCCCCUCGUGCCGCAUGUGAUUUCCCCCCUCUCACUCCCCUCUCUCUCUCUCUCUUCCCCUCGUGCCGCAUGUGAUUUCCCCCCUCUCACUCCCCUCUCUCUCUCUCUUCCCCUCGUGCCGCAUGUGAUUUCCUCCCUCUCACUCCCCUCUCUCUCUCUCUUCCCCUCGUGCCGCAUGUGAUUUCCCCCCUCUCACUCCCCUCUCUCUCUCUCUCUUCCCCUCGUGCCGCAUGUGAUUUCCCCCUCUCUCAUUCCUUUCUCUCUCUCUCACUCACACACACACACACACUCUUUCUCUCUCCCCUUUUUGCGUCAGUUGGCGGCGGCGCCGGGGACACGCAUUGCCGAGAAGCCUCAGGCCGCACCGGCCGUGGCGGAGGCGGAGGGCGGGGCGGGGCUUGAUGAAGAUCUGCAAGCGCGACUUGAUAACCUGCGCAAGUCCUAGGGAUCCUAGGGGGUCUUAGGGGGGGUCCUAGGGGUUCCUAGGGGUCGACGGGGGUGACCUUAUCCUUAGGUGUGUGCCGCGGCGCUACGAGCUACGUCAGUCAGGCCGCACUUGUCCCCAGCUGCGUAAACCGGUGAGUGACUGCUGCACCGAAAGCUGCCAGUCCCGCAGUCAGCCGACGCAGCCAGCUGAAGGGGCGCAGUGGUCGACCAACCCACCGUGUAGCUGAUGCUGUCCCGGUCUGGCACACGGUUCUUCUGAUAUGUGGUGUAUCGCGGCGUGGGUUUGGCAAGUUGGGAGGAUUUAUGUGGAGGGAUGGAAUGUGGCGGGUUGGCUGGCGCUGAGGCUGCCGCGAUUGGUUGGUUGGUUAGUUGGUUGGUUGGUUGGUUGGUGUUAUGGGCACGGCAGUGAAGCAGGAUUGGUGUGUGGGCCAAGCGGAGGCGUGUUGAACGGCGUAAGUUUUUACUUACAUCAUACAGGUGUACAUUGUCAUCAUCAUCACCGUCAUUAGCACAGCAAACAGCAAGCAGUGGCAAGCAGCGACAAGCAGCAGCAUAGGCACACCAAGAAGACUGGGGUGUCGACGGCUAUGGGUGUUGGGGUGCGUGCAGGAUGACUGCCAUGCAGAUUCCCGUGUGUGUAUGAUGUGUGGGACAGGGGGGACAUAUCUUCACCCGGGACCGCACCCGUGUGUAUGUGUGUGUGCGUAUGUAUGCGUGUGUGCGUACGUGUGUGUUCUUGUAAUGUGCCACGGCAGGUCAACAUCACAAUCAAUGCGGAGGAGGUUGAAGCGGGGGGGGAGAGUGUAGGUAGUAUUGGCACGAGACGAAAACGGGCCGCUGGGAGGUAUACGAUGCCAGAGGGCCCCAAAGCAUCAAUGUCCAGCCAGCCCUGGGCAUCCAGGUUUGCUGUUGAUGUUUUUGAAUUUACUCAGUCAAGACAAGACACAACACGACACGACAUGACAAGAGGCCGCGCGAAGGCCAGGGCAUCAGGUUCGCAGCUGUGCCGUGUGGGAACAGGGUUACGGCAAUAAUGGUCGUGACUCAAGGGGAAGUCGUAAGACACUGAGGCCGUGAUGGAAAGAGGAGGUUAGGCGGUCGUCCGGGCAAAGGCAAGCCUGUGGGUCGCGGCUCGGGCAGUCGGGAAAAAAAUUAAUUCCCGCCCGGGGCCUCCCUCCCGCCCGGGGGAGAUGUGGAUGUGCUCACGGCUGUGAAAAGGGGUUUAGGGCUUUAGGGUUUCGGGACGAUGAAACCUGCUGGAACCGGGAGAAUUGAAGAAAACGACGAUGAUGAAGAACCGGGAGAAUCGCCUCAUUUACGGGCAUGCGAUGGUGGUGUGUGACCGUGUGCCGGGCCAGUUAAAGCGGGUAAUGACGACGUCGCUUGGCGCAUGGACUGUUUCAUCAUCAUCAUCAGCAGCAGCAUCUCCGGCAGAAUAGUUACCUGUCAGUUUUGCAUUAGCUAAAGGUUGACCACGGUUUGACUGGAGUGAAGGAUUUUCUUACCGCGAACGAGGAUGAAGGGUGUUUUGUUUGAUCAGAGGCUUGAUACACACCGACCUGACCCGUUACAUGAGCACCGUUGCAAGAUCUGCAGGGGCUGCGCGGUAGUUAAGUGGCUUUUUACUGGACAGUGCUGGUAAGCGACAUUGACAGUUGCGUCUCGUGUGUGUGUGUGUGUGUGUUUCGUAAUGCUGGUUUGUGUGUUUUGGACGAGACAUCAUCGGCCGCUGUUCAUGUUUCCGGUCGGGUAAGAAGGAACACAGUUCACCUCGCCGUGGAGUAUAUUCCAUUCCCAUUUCAAUGCAAGCGGAUGACGCUCGCAUCACGGUGAUUCCUAUUUAAACCAUCCAGCCUGUCAGGGCUGGAACCGACCGAACAGGUUCUUUCCUACCUUACACAUGCAAACUGCGAACUCCUAAGAUGUGACGCCGUGUCAAUGGUUAAAGCGGUAUACGGCGUUGUGAUGAGCGGAUUUACGUAAGAGAAGGCGUUCACAGUACCGGUCCUGAACAUUUAGGUUCCUUCUACAGCUUCACUGUGCAGACCAUCAUUACCUGCUUCACAUAUAUUUUCGCUCCGAGAAAAGUACGCAGCUGAUAAUGUCAUGGCUGUCCUAGUGAAUUGGAUUUCUGCUUUCCAGGGCCCCCAACAGCACAGUAUAUAAUCGAAUCAUGAGAAAAAGUAUAAGCUGCAGUUUGAGGUUGAAUUUGUGAUAUAUUGUACUACGUACGGCGUAUCAUAUUCUGAUGACGAGAAUUGUACAAACUUGCAAUUGGUGUGCAAUUACCGUUGUUUUCAGUUGUAUGCUUUUGUCCCUUAGAUCCUAGCUAUCCAAUGUACGGUGGCGGAUGCCAACGCGAUGCUGAAGUUACCAUAGGCGCGCAGGCGUAAAAAACGUAUAGCGCGGCCGUGGUCGCUCAUCCGUGGCUGCUUAUGCUCACAAACAUGAUUAACCAGCCCUUCUUGGUGCAGAGCCUAGCGCAGGUAGCGAACGAUUGCGGUCGGAAGUAGGAAGGCGCGCUCCUGAUAUGAUCCCGCGACGCAGUGCCUGAAAAUGUUUACAAUCUGUUUGGCAUUAUGGAUUUUCGGGAAGCUGUAAGACUCUCCAAGGCCGGCGUGUUGACUUUAGGCAAUGGAGCGCUCUGCGCUUGCGAAUCCGACACGACGGCAAGCCUCAGGAGCAGACACAGCCCUAUCGAAUGCUGUCACCAGCGUUACUGUUUCCCAGCAAGAGUCGGAGGGCCAGGCGUCGGAGCCGGCAGCGGGCAGCACAGGAGAGCCUCCCAGUCCGGUAGGAUGUUUCCCGAAGAAAACCUGUAUCCUUAAUCAUUAUGUCGUGGAAUUAAGUUGCCAGGGCAAUUAGCUGCUUUGCCGACGUGCUGUCUUUGCCGUUCUGCUCCACAGCGCGCAGCCCGGAGCCAAGUGUCAACGGCGGUAUCAUUCGAAGGUGCACGUGCUGCGGGAUCGGCGGUUCAGCCGGAACGAUCCGUUGACGAGGACAGCGCGCUGUCAGCCGCGGAGCCUGACGGUAAGCCUAUGCGCGGGAUUUGGGUUUUACGACGUGUUGUUCCAAGCUGAACAAUUUGCGCCAACCUGAUCGCGACACACCGAGAAAAAUCGUAAGCCCGCCCGUUAUCUCGUCUUUUAUUCAGCCAGCACGCUUCCUUCCUUUUUACACAGGUCCUGUCCGGUCAAACCGUCCUCAGCAGGGCUCCCGGCCCGCCAAUAGCCUCAUUUCCACGGCGGUCCAUCCUGCAAUCCGUAACGUAAACAACAGCAGCAAGCUGCCGCCGCCGCCACAGCAACAUUACCCUAAUAAUAAGCAGCAUCAACUGCAAACCCACCAGCAAGCGUUUCUGCAACAGCAAGUACAGCAACAACAGCAACACGCACACCAUCACCAGCAACUCCAGCAGCAGCAACAGCAGCAGCGCCACGCAGCGCCGGCGGCAGCAGACCAGACGCCUUAUGGUCGCGGCGCAGGACCAACAGCCGAACAUUACGCGUCUUCGCCGGAGGUACAGCGACCCCACAGCAUCACCUCCCAGGCCGCGGAAACACGAGGAGAAGGCCACGGCCACUGUCAUGGUCACGCCGGGCGUAGUGAGGCAGAGCAGGAAGGCGCGGUUGUGGGUCACGGCAUACGAGGUCACCCAACGCGGUCAAACAUACGCGGCGCGACGCCGGCGUCGGUGUAUGGACAGAUCCAGGCGCCCGGAAGAGCCCCCGGACCACCCUCCCCGCGGAAAGCCCACCAGCAUAGCCUUCAGGUACGGUACCGAUGAGAGACAAGGUAAUCAUUUUUUGGGACCUGAGCAACCUGAGCGAAAUGAAUGGAAAAGGAGUCAGUUCAAAGGAUGUCACGUCUGUUCGGUAGCUUUGAGAAUUGGCUCUGACAAUUAUGGCGCGUGUGUGGUGGUGGUGGUGGUGGUGGUGAUAGUGGUGGUGGUGGUGGUGGUGAUAGUGGUGGUGGUGGUGGUGAUAGUGGUGGUGGUGAUGGUGGUGGUGGUGGUGAUGGUGGUGGUGGUGGUGGUAGGAAGUGAGGGGGCCCUCCCUUCUUGUCCAUCUGGUGCGUGCGGGGGGAACGACGAACCACGAGCGAGUGAAGCUGAUGGCAAGGAAAGACUGAUGCGCCAGAAGUAAAGAAGGCAUGCGGGGGGGGGGGAGGGCCGGAGAACAGGAAGUUGUGCGAAAAGCAGGGAUGGCGUGCCCGCUCGGCGAGAGACAUGACUAUCUGCGGUUACCAAUGCCUGGAUGUAUGCCAUUUCGUUUUCCAACCCUUCUGGAUUGGCAGCCGCCUUUUUGCAAGCAGCCUAGGCAGGAAAGGGGCGCCGGCAUGUGUGUGUGUCUGAGUGUGUGUGUCUGUGUGUGUGUGUGUCUGUGUGUGUGUGUGUGUGUGUACUUGCAAAUCCUUGCAAAGUGCUGUCAGCUGCCAAGCCCCAUGUGCAAUGCGCGUCCAACGCGCAAGAUGACGUGAUGGAGGGAAGCAUUCAGCGAUGUCGGAUUUCGAUGCCAAUUUUCAUGCUGCAUGCAGUGGGCAAGUACCGUUGGCGGAGGCGGCUCGGUGGCAGAAGGCAUGUACCCCGCAACGGCCGCCGCCGCCGCUGCAGCUGCAUUGCUGGGCAACGGGCUGGUCGGCGGCUGGGGGCUUGUGCAGGGCUUGGGCCGCGGCGCGACAAGUAUCGCCGCCACUGGCCACAGGCCACCGCCCCUCCCCCACUCCCUGCUGGCCGCCUCUCCAUUCAACCUCGCGGCGCUUGGCCAGCUACAGCUCCAUGCAGCAAGCCACAUGCAGCAGCAAGCAGCAGCUGCGGCGGCGGCGGCGGCAGCCGCUUCGGCUGGCACGGGGCCGGGCUUGGGCGGCGCCGCAGCACCUGGCGGGGGGCUGCUAUGGCAACCGUCUGAACAGGCGGAAAGUGUUGCUGGAGAGCUCUCACAGCCGCCCCUGGCGGCGGCGGCGGCGGUACUGCAAGCGGCCGAACCAGCGUCCCCGACGCAGCCAGGCCAUAAUCAGCUGCUGUCGCCGCCACCACCACCACAGCAGCAGCAGCAGGCUCUCCUCCACCAAGUUGGCCCGGCCCCAGCUUCAGCUCCGUGGGUUAGCGGCCCAGCUGGGGCCGGAAUGCAGGACGACGGCGACGGCGACGUGCACGGCGCUGGUCACGGCAGUGACACAGGGGCAGGCGCGGGCAUCACUGCUCCUGCAGGCCUUGGGACCCAUGGCCAGCAAGCGGCCGCACUUCCCUCCUCACCGGACGGUGUCGUGAGCCGCCACGCCAGGACCCGCCGCGGCAGGUCGUCGUACAGUAUGUCGGGCGCAUUGCUGGGGCCGGUGUACGGCGGAGGGCAGCAUGGGGUCCACCCGUUUGCACUGGCGGAUAUGCACGGGCUCCAGGGAUUGCUCAUGAGCGCGUCCAUGACUGCGGCCGCGGCCGCAGCGGCGGCGGCAGGCGGCGCCGGCGCCGGCGGACUCGCAGACGAUCAAGGAGGAGCAAUCAUGGCGACACCAUCCGGGCUAGGGCGGGGAAAGUCUGAGCAGCAGCAGCCGCUGCCGCAGCAGCAGCACACCCAAGGCUCGUCCCAUGUUGGAUCCGGAGUCCAGCACCCCCAAGCGCACCCGCACCAGCGCUCCAUGGCCGCUGCUGCGGCGGCGGCGGCGGCGGCGGCGGCGCAUGCAAGCAGUGGCCUACAGGUGCUGCCGCCGCCGCAGUAUCACCAUCACUACCACCAUCGCCAAGCACAAGAGCAUACUGGAGAUCCGCAAAGCCAGCAACAGCAGCAGCAGCAACAGCCGCAAGCGCUGUUGUUCCCGGGGCGGGGGCAUGGUCAGAGCGAGGGGGCAGGUGGCGCACCCGCCGCGGCCACCAAUGCGCCUGCUGGCGGAUCGGCCGCCAUUGACGCCGCCGCAGCGGCAGCGCUGCAUGGCUUGCAGGUUGCUGCAGAGCCUGUCGCGACAGCCACCGCCACCUCCGCAUGCGGUGGUGGGAAUGGGACUGUCGUAGAUGGCGGCGUCGCCGCCGCCGCCGCCGGGCCGCCGCCUGGUUUCGGAGCUGGAGGUCCCCGACCCGCCAUGCAAUUGUACGUGCCGGUCAUGGUUCCGCUAGAGCUUGUGAGUGCACAGAUGGCCAUAAACCAGGCUGCAGCGGCAGCGGCUGUGGCCGCGGGUGCCGUAGCCCAAGCGGCGUCGCCCGUUGAUGGUGCCGGAGGCGCGAUGCCUGCUGCCGCUCUUGGCGGUGGGGGCGAGAAGGGUGUUGCUGGUGGUGGCGGCGGUGGUGGGAGCCCUGGCGGCGACAGCAGGGACUCUCCGAUGGGCGCCGCUGAUGUAGCCGCAGCAGCAGCCCACUCUACUCAGGCCCUCGACACGUCCUCGCGUCACUUAUCCGAAUCCGGGCAUGAGUCCGCACAUCAAAACGGUUUGUCAGCGGGAGCUCGCAGCGCUGGCGGCGCCAGUGCGGGCGGCGGCAGCGGCGGUGGUGACAUGGGCGGCGGUAGGAGCCUGGCCGUGCCCUGCGCAGCAGCGUCAGUGGCGCGCUGCGGCGGUGGCGGCGGCAGCGGGGCCCACGCAGGCGGCGGCGGUGCCGGUGCGGCUGUCAACGCCACUGCUGCCAACGGCCAUGGCCAUGGUCGGUGUGCUGCAGGGGAUGCACGCGGCCUGGGUCUUGGUAGUGGAGGCCGUGUGUGUACGGCGGCAACCGCUGCCGCCGCUGGGGCGCAGCACAGCGCAGGGAGCAACCCCGGGGCCGGCGGCUCGGGUGGCGAAGGCGCAGGCAGCCCUGAGGCGGAAGGUACUUUGAGACGUGCCGCUGCUGCGGCCGCGCCGGCGGCGUCUGCUGCUGAAACUGUCAUGGCGUCGGUAGCCCCGAUGGGGGCGCUUCUUGGCGCUGGCGUACCACUGGGGAACGCCGCGGACGCAGACCACCCCGGCAACGGCGCGGACGCCGCCGCCCCUGCAGGUGGCGGCGGCGGACCCGCGGCCGCUGGCGCCGCCGCCGCCGCCGCUGCAUCUGUGGGUGCAGGCGCUGGCUUCGUCGGCAUGGGUUUCGGGGCCGGAAAUCUUAACGAGCAUAACAAUAACCAUCACCACAACAACAAUCUGGCGAUUAACGCGCACAGUAACGCAUACGGCGCGGGUCCGUCGAUGACGCAGACAGCAGAUUACCGCUCGCACUUGCAGGUCGCGCUGAGUUUGCUGUUGCAGGCCACGUCCGCGGCGUACAACAGCCAGCGGCAGAGCGGCGUCGCUGGCGCGAAUGAAGGGUCGGGGAUUUUUGCCGCGGCGGUACAGCAAGCGUCAGCCAGCAACGCCGUCGGGCAGGAGAUGAGCGAGGGCAUGGGCGGGAGUGGCGCUGGCGACGGCGGCGUGGGGGGAGCGGUUGUCAGUGGGAAUGCCGGCGGCGGGGGCGGUGGGCUUGAUGGCAGCGGGAGCGGUGCGGGACGGGCUGCUGGCGGCGGCAAAGCCAACGGGGCUGCUACUCUUCAUGACGGGGGUGGUGGUGGUGGUGGCGGCGGCGCUGCGUUGGCGGCAGCGGCGCACUCGAUGCAUGGUGCAGCCAUCGGUCCCGCAGCGGCGGCGGCGGAGCCAAUGGAUACGGAGGGGCAGGUUGUGGACCAGGCGACGGCGGCAAGUCGCGGCCUACACACAAGCCCAGGUGCCGUGGCGGCAGCGGCGUUGCGGGAUGUUGUUGCUGACGAUGGCGGCGGUGGCGGCCGCGGCCGCGAUGCUGGCGGCAGCGGCGGCAGCCCGGAGGCCUACCAGGCGCCACAAUGGUCGACGCAGCGCGGCGGCGGUGGCGGAUGCGGCGGCGGCGCAAGGUCAGCCAUGCACGGAAGCUCGGGAGCUGCUGCCCUUGCCGCCGGCCGUGGCAGCAACCUAAACAACGGCGCCGCUGGCGGCGGGGCCCCUCAUGGCCACCCUGGAAUGCAUCAUAGCCAGGUAGCGCACCACCAUCACAACCACCACGCGCAAGGGCUCCUGCUGGGACCUGCAGGGUAUCAUCACCACCACCACCGGGGAAGCAGCGCCGCCGCCGGCAGCGGCUUCGGCAAGGUGGGGCCACGGGGCGAGGGAGCCGGCUGCAGUCCCGGGGUGGCGCAGCUGGAAGGGGCGCUACUGAUGGGCGGCAAUGGCGCCGGGACCGCCGCCGUUGUUGCCGGCGCCAGCGUCGGCAGCGCUGGCGGCGCAGCCGGCGGCGACGGCGAGCAGGCGGAUAACAACUCGGCGCUUCAGAUGGAUGCGGAGGCGGGGCACCCCGCGGCAUCUGUGCAUGCGACGGUGAUUGCGGAGGAGAGUGAUGCGUCGGAGGAAGGUGGCGGCGGUGGGGGGGAUGACAGCGGGUCCAUGGAGGUGCCGCCGGCGGCCGCGGCGCGGGGCCUCGACGGCGGCGGCGGUGCUGGCGGCGGCGCCGCCGGGGGCCUUGUCGGUGGCGUUGGCAGCAGCAAGGCAGCGGCAGCGGCGGGACUGGGCGAGAUGGUCAGCCAGCGAUUCGACGGUUCCAGGUGCAGAAAGGGGGGGGAAAGGGGGGGGGGGGAGAAAUGCAGCUGGCCAAAGGUGCAAACGUUUGGAGCUGCGUCUAUCGCAUAGCCUGUGGCUUUAAUCACUCUGCCGCGCCCCUCCCUUUUUUGGCAGACUGCAGAACCCCCCGUGAUGUCUCUUCCCCAAUAAUUAUAUACAUUAUUUGUAACUUCCCAGAUCUUACUGCUCCAAUUCGUUUGCUAGCUCAAUACCUGAGUUCAACCACACGUGUAUCUAUUUAUCUUGAACCUUUUGAAUGCAAUUGUUCCUGGCGCGCGUCGCGUGAUGGCGUGAUGGCUUGGGCAAAAUGAAUUAGUGUUUGUUUGCCAUCGUUUGUUUGUGAUGAAGGGAAGGUGAGGUGCUCACCUCACCGUGCCGUACCAUGCCGUACAGGUCCCGCUCCAGGGAGGGUCAGGCCUCGAAGCCGCCGCAUGAGCACCAGCUCCUGAUGCUCCAGGGGCCUCCAGCGACGGGGGCCGGGCUGGGUGAGGUUGCCAGCCACCGCGCAGAGACGCGCAGUCCCGCGCGCCACGAUGGUGCGUUUGAAUGGUGGUUAUGCGGUGUGGGGAUGUGUGGGUUGGGGUUGGGGUUGGGGUUGGGGGGUUGAGGGCGGAUUCUGAGGGUGACCCCAAAUUGAAAGGUACGAAAUAUUUUAAGAACCCCACACAUACAUACACACAUAAACACAGCCACAGCUGACAGCUUCAAGUCACAACCGCCAUCAUCAUCAUCACCAUCACCAUCACCAUCACCAUCUAAGAACUGCGAUCAACACUACUACUUACAUCGUGGUCGGUGGCGCCAAUCAACAACACACGAGCACAACAACAAGCACAUUACAUGGUGGUGGUGGGACCUCUUCACCUGAAGAAAGCCCGGGACUGGGUCAUGUAGGGCGUAUAGGUCGAGCGAGCCGAAGGUACAUCAGACCAGCUAACAAAAAUGUUCGACAAAGAAGGGAAAAUAAACAGGAAAAGGGAAAAUGGACAGGAGCACUGCCGUACCUCUGUCUGGGAAACUUCUGGGACACCGCAAGCUGUGACAUCUCUCAUCGGUCCCAGCUCAAAACCCGCCGACUUCUGCUCUGUCCAUGCCGCUGCAGUUUGUGUGCACGCAUGCCUGUGUGCUAAUCCUAGCCCCUUGAUGCCCUGCCCCCAAACUUCUGCUCCCGACCUUUCAUUUCUACCCUUACUUUAUAUCUAUGUCCUAUGCUCGUAUUCACUGGUUGUCUUGCGCCCUUGUCCUGUGCCCGUGUUUACUGGUUUUUUCAUUCUUAGGCGGUGUUCCCGACCCGCGCGACUCGAGCAUGGGCAUGGCCGCCGGGCCUUCCCAUGACGGCACUGACAGCGACAGCAACGGAACCACCACCAGCGACACCGUGGAUAUGGCCGAGGACGACAGUCGCAUGGGUUCGGCUUCGGAGCAUGGCGAUUCGGGUGUGGGCGCAGACCCACGGGACAUGAUGCAAACGGAUGAGAAUUUGUUGCCUUUGGACGAGCAUGGUGGCGAGACCGCGGGCGCGAUGGGCGUCAAUGGAUGUGAAGAGGUAGAGGAGCGUGGUGAUGAUAAUGACAACGCCGGCAGCGCUGACGUAGGCAACGAUGAUGAUGACGACGGCGGCUGUGACGGCGGCGGCGGCGGCGGGUGCGACAACACGGAUGCCAUUGGCGGCGACCCUGACGGCGACGGCGGUGCACGCAUGAGCGUCGGGCCAGCGGCGGCGCUGCUGGGCAUGCUUGGCGGCGGCGGCGGCGGCGCCAGCACCGGUCAUAUGGGCCCUGCGGCAGCAAACAGCAACGAAAAGUGUUCUCCAGCUGACAAGGUACGGCAGUAACGCCCGUUGUCGGGGGCGGCGCGGUGCGACGCGGCGUGUUGUGCAUUUGUAAUAAGAGGCCUGAGGUUUAGGGUUUUUAAUAGUAUGAGCCUAUCUGGCAGGAGCCUAUCUGCGCUCAACUGCCUGCUGCUACCAUUUUUGAGCACAUGCAGAUGAACUGGCAUCGCCGGGAUCCUUUUAUUUGCUGCCAGUGGUGUUGGAUGUGGAGCCUGGAGCUCGGAACACGCGCUCCCUUUUAUGGUGACGCGAGCGCUGUGGCAGAUGCGCGUUUAUCGAUUUCUCCUAACAUGUGCAGUCCACACAGACCACAGGCAAAGCACUACAUGCGCAUGAACAUUUCGCCUGACCUUUCUCCAAUGGAUUACGCAACCUCGCAGGCUGCUAGCCGCCAUCCGAACUCCAACUCGCCAGAUGACAUGCGCCACCACCAUGCACACCAGCACGCCGCAGCCCACCAUAACCUCCACCACCCGGCGCUUUCAAAAGAGGUCGCGGGUGGAAACGGCGGCGGCGGUAGCGGUAGCGGCGGCGGCGGCGGUGUCGUACGCGCCUCCGCCAGCGGCACCGCCCGCAACACCGUCCACCAGCAGACGCUGCAUCACCAUCACCAUACCUCCGCCGCGGCAGCGGCGGCGGCGGCGACACUGUACGGCGCGUCCGCUUCCGCAGCGCUGGCAGCCGUGGUCGACGGCGGCGACGACGCUGAUGCGGAUAACCGAUGCGGCUUGGCUGCCGUCGUUGGCCCGGCGGCUAGUGGCGCCCUCGGCGGUGGCGGCGGGACCGCCGCAGCUACCGGCAACGGCGCCGCCGCUGCGGCGGCGCAGGUGCUGCACGACCGGGGCAGUCCUGCACUGCAGCUGCCUGAGCUACAAGCCGCCAACAGCAUCGCCAUGGGCUCGAUACGGCAUGACCACGGCGCUCCUCGUAGGUCGGGACUUCUCGGCGAUGAGGAGUCUGGUGGCCGACGGGCCGUUGGAAUGCAGCCGCAGUCGUACCUGCACGCGCUGAGAGAUGACUGGCGGCCGGCCGCCGCCGCUGCAGCGGCCGCGGUCGCGGCGGCGACGGCGGCUGUUCCUGGCAUCGGCCCGGNNNNNNNNNNNNNNNNNNNNNNNNNNNNNNNNNNNNNNNNNNNNNNNNNNGGGGGGUGGGGGUGGGGGUGGGGGUUAUUUGUUGGUACUUGAAGCUAUUGGAAUGCAACUUCGUUGUGUUGGGUAGGCCAUGGGAGUGAAGUGGCAACAUGUUGUUUGUCUAUUUGUUUGUUUGUUGCAAUGUUCUUCUGCGGGAGGUGGGUGGGGGAAUGCUGGAAUGGCAGCGAUUUGUAAGAUGUUUGGAGGCGCGUGCACAAAAUCUUGAUGGUAAACCUCUCUCUCUCUCUUCCAUAACCAUAACACAUCCCAUCGCCACUAAAGCCUUGAUACUGCUCGCGGCGUGACACUCGUUCCUCCUUUUUUUACAGUUUUGCCUACACAUACGCAUAUACAUGUGUGCACACGCGCACAACACAGGAGCAGGAUAAAAUGGCGUAGUUAGGAACAGGAGUUCAGCUAUUCGAACUGGCACACUUUUACCGCCACGACCAAAUGGCCGCUAGCUCUUCCGUUGCUCGUCCUUUGCUCGUCCAGCCCGUCGCAAUCCCUGCUGUUUUCAUGUCCUGCCCGAUGUGUGACACCCCCAGCUGGCGGCGGAGCUGAAGCCGACGGCGGCGCCGGCGCUGGUGACUUGGCUGCUGCGGUCGCGUCCCGUAGCGCGGGCACAGCGGCUGUUAAGCAAGAGCGCUCAGGCUCGGCGGCGAUGGCCGUCGGGUGCGGUAAUGGCAAUGGCGGCGAUGGCGGUGCCGGGACCCGUACCGGCGGCGGCGGCGGUGGCGGUGCCGUCCUCCCUGUAGCACACCACUAUCUCCACACUGGCACGCUGGACUUGGCGGAUGUGGAGAUGAAAUCUUCCAGCCAGGAGGCCGCCGGGAGUGUACGACAGCGGCCAUCGAUGUCUGACGGACUGCCGGACGACCAGCAGCAACUGGAUCCCCAUCAUCACCACCACCGUCACCGUCACUACCAGCUUCAGCAAUUCCAGGAUCGUCCACCUCCUCCUUCUCCUCAUCCCGCUCCGCAACAACAGCAGCAACAACAACAACAGCCGCAGCAGCAGCAGCAGCUACAGCGGCAGCUGCUACAGCUCCGUCGCGCUGGAGGAGGAGAAUCAGGAGCCGGUCUUGCGGUAAUGAUGGCCGGAGAGGAUGCGGCUGACAUGUCGCCACCGCCACCGCUCUAUCCCCAUUACCAGCACCACCACCAGCUCCAUUCGGCGCCGCUGCAGCAGCAACAGCAAUACGCCGCUGAGUUGUUGGUCAGUCAACCGCGUGGCUCACAGACUCUUGGGCCGGCGCUUUCCCAUUCCCAACAAGUCUCGCCUCAUCAGCACCAAAACACACACUCGCACUCGCACUCUCACUCGCUCUCCCACAAACACUUGGUUUCACGGUCUCACACACACCACCACCGCCAACAGCAGCAGCAACAGCAGCAGCAGCGGCAGGCAGAGGACACGGCGGACGUGAUCGAAAACACCACCCUCGCGGCUCUGGGCGGCGGCGCGGUGCUGCACCCCGCCAGUGUACUCACAACUGCUUCCCAACCGCAGCCGCUACUGCCGCUACAACAGCUACUACCUCACCAGCAGCGGCUUCGAAACGACGGCGGCGGCGGUGGGGAUGCUGCAGCGGUUGGCAGCGGGGGCCGUCCGGCCGACGCGGAGGCCGUGACCCACGGGUCUGCCGGCCGGGGCGACGGCCACCUAGCCGACCGCAUCUCACAAGAGGCUGUACCGCAGGUGACGGAGAUCCACGGGGCGUUUCCCGGAAUGGCGGCGACGGCGGCGGAGGCGCUGGCGUUACACCAGGAGGAAGAGCGUCAGCGAUUGGCUCUGGGGCCCGCAGCCGCUGUCGCUGCAGCGGGGGAAGCGGCGACGGCAAGGGCAGGGACGGCGGCUGCGGCUGCGGCUGCCGCCGUGGGGGGCAUCGCCGCGGCUGCCGCCGACACCCAGGCCAGUUGGCAAGGAGAGGAAGAUUGCCAACCCAGCGGCUCCCCAGGCGGCCCCAGCCUCUCCGCCGUCAUGCCACAGUUCACGGAAGUCCAUGGAGCCUUUACGCGUACCGCAGGCACCGCUGCAGAGGCACAGGCUUCGGGUCUGCUGCUGCUGCACCUUCGUGGUGGCGCUGGAGCGGUAGGGGAUAAUGGCGGCGGCGGCGGCGGUGAUGGUGAUGGUGGUGGACCCGUCGUCGUCGCCACCAGCGGCGGCGGCGGCGGCGGCGGACAUCACCUUGGGACUGCAGACCCACGGGUCGCUCGGCCUCGUGCCGGACAGUCAAUGUCGCAACCCGGUGCACGCCUGACGGCGCCUCGCGAUGCGGAGGUUGUGGGUGUUAGCGUUACUCAUGCAACGGUGGGUGAUGGGGCAGGGGCUGACGGCAGUGCCAGUCCCCAGCUCGGACGGGGUGAUGGCCCGUCCGCUGUCGACACUGCCGCCGCGUUGGGUUUGGGGGUCCACCCCCGGACCUGGCAACAGCAUCAUCAGCAGCAGCAGCCACACCGCCGGCAGCCACAGCCACAGCAGCAGCAUGGCGAUGAAGCCGUUAUGGAUAUCGGACUGCGGUCACAGGGGCAACUACAGGAUGAACACGCACCGCACCAACUGCAAGCACAUCCGUUUCGGGCGGAUAGGGGCGCGGCGGCGUCCGUUGCCGCGGCUGCCGCCACGGGGCGUGUCGCUGGGGAUGGGGGGGAUUCUGCUGCAGGGGCUGUCGCAGCCGCCACGGAAGGCGGAGGGCACGGAACCCCAAGUGGAAGUGCCGUACUAGGAGUUGGCGGCGGUAAUAACACCCGCACGAAGGCAGAGUCCGCGCUUCACAUCGCCCGUGGAAACAGAGAGCUGCCAAAUCGCGCCAGCGGCAGCGGCGGUGGUGGCGGCGGUGGUGGCGGCAUGGGCAGCUGGACCUUGCGUUCUGGCCGUGUACGGGCCGGUGUACGUGAGGGCUCCGCGCACGCGGGAGCAGCGGCCGCGCACGCCAGUCUCGACGGUGACGGUGACGGGGAGGCCGCACCGGUUUCCGUCGACGGUCAUGGCAGCAACGGCGUCGCGCCUUUGGAGCCGUACGGAGACAAUGACGGCGUUGCGACAGCGACGGUGUCGCAAAGCGGUGAGGUAAUGCUGCCGCCGGUCGCCGUCGUGAACUUUGCCGCGGGUUUGGCUGGAGGGGUAGCGGCGGCGGCGGUUGAGGGGCCCGGGGUAGCUGCAGCUGACGACGUACAGGAUGUUCAGGACUCCAGUCGCAGGGGAGAGGGAUUUUGUGGACAGCGGCUGCAUGGUUCAGGUCGCGCACUGUCAGCUGUCGCGAGCCGCGGCUGCGGCCGUGGCGCUGCAGACGGCGCGGCCGUCGGCAGCGGCGGAGGCGGAGGCAGCGGAGAUGCGUUUGGCGGCGGCGCGACCCCUGAUACCCGCUGGCUGUUCCGGCACGGAAUGGCGGCGGCGGCAACGGCGGGGGCUGGCCGCCUAGGAACGCCGGCCUGGGUUCCUCACCAAACUUCACUGCCGCCUCACCAACAGCAGCACCUACAACAAUCGCCGCCGCCGCAGCCGCGUGAGCUAAUAUCUCCCGCGGAGGCGGGGGCCGGAGUCCACGGUAGCGGCGAAGGAUGCCGUCAAGCACAACAUGCGCAGGCGGCCGAGGGGCCACUAUCUACCCAAGCCGAUGCUUAUGGUGGGUACGACGAUGACGAGUACGACUACUCGGACGGCGAAAGAAGGCGGGCGGAGGGCCCCCCACAGCCGCAGUUGACCAUCUUGGUCACGUCCCACGCUGCAAACUCGCAUCAUACGGUCAGCGGUGGUACGGCAGUGGUUUCGGAGGCUGAUAACGGCGUUGCGGGUGCGGGGCCGGGCGGCGCAGGAGGCAGCCCGGCAGUUGCGGCGUGGGAGGAGGAGUUUGAUGGUCCUCAUCGCCCGUUGGGCGGCUGCGACGGCGUAGCGCAGCAGGGCAGCUGGCGCGGCGGCGGGGAGGGUGAGGGCGAAGGCGCGGGCGGCGGCGGUCCUACCAAGUCCACCGUCAUGUCGUCUGGGCACGUUGAGGCGAACCCACAUCCACAGCGCACCACGCCGCGAGGAGGCGGCCGCCGCAACCGCGACCACCACCACAACGACCAUCACCAUCAUCAUCAUCAUCAUCAUCAUCACCGCAAUGACCUUUAUCCCCAGUACAGGAAUGACCACGCGCAAGACCUCAAUGCUUUCUUUCCAACUCGAAGUGUCGCGUUCGGUGAGCAAGUGCAGGGUCCCUUCGCGCCGCUGCAGAAACAAUAUGAAGAUGAGCGGCAGCAACAGCAGCAACAGCAACAGCAACAGCAUCACAGUUUGGCCGGCUGUACGGCGACUCAUCCUGGGCAGUCGAGGUCUAGGCGUGGCGGGUGCGGGGGAGCGGGAACGGGAGGGGCAUCGGGGGACGUGCAAGGAGAUGCGGCUAUGGAGGGGGAGGAGGAGGAGGAGGACGGGGAGGCGGCGGCGGCGGCGGCGGCGGGGGCCGUGCCUGGCCGCCGAGGAGGCCGCGGAUCCCGGUCUCGUGGAACCCGUGAGGCCGGCGGCGGCGGUGGUGGCGGCGGCGGCGGCGGCGGCAGGGGCCGUCGGGGAGGUCGGGGAGGUCGGGGGGUUCGGGCACGUGGGGAAAAGAGAAAGAGAAGCGCCGCGCAGUCCUCGCCCGAGCGUGAAGACGACCCCAGGUUAGCUGCUGUCGGCGCCACUGCCGCCGCCGGUAGGAGAGCAGCAGCAGCAGCAGCAGCAGGGGGCGACAACUAGGUACAGCAAAAGGGGGGGUAGAGGGGGUACAGGGCGCUGUGCCGUCGGGCCUACAGCAGCAGCCUUUGGCGCGGUGCGUAUCAGCGCUACAGGUCGCACGUGUCUUCUCAGCAGUAAUCAUCGGAGGGGGGGGACUUAGUGAGCCGCAACACGGACAGCACGGGGGAGAUUUGUUGUACAUGCACUGCAGCCAGGGCAGUGCAAACCUAAAAACCCGGAGUAUACGGGCCGGGUCGGGUAUGCUCGCUUGCAUCCCGUAUGUAUACACACAUACACGUCCAAUACAUACAUACAUACAGGGGUGCAUGGGCCUUGGGCCAGAAUUUGACCUGUGGGUUAAUCCCACGGCGGCGGUGCAGGAGCUUGUGUAAGGUGUGGCGAUGCGGUGGUGGUUGCGGUGUGGCGGGAUGGUUUGGCGGGAUGUGCGCAUGUGGCAUAUGCUGGUCUGUCUGCGUGGUUAGGUGGGGUGCGGGGAUUGUAGCUCACUUGCUCUCGCGUGUGUGUGUGUGUGUGUGUGUGCCGAUCUGCUGGCCUUGGCAAUUCCGUGCUUGGCAUGGGUGGCGGCGCGGGGUUGUAACCCGGGGCUAGCUUCCCCCGGCCCUUCCCCCCGCGGGUGGUGUCGCCGCCACGUGUGGCUUUUUACUUUUCUUUCUUUGCAAAGGAAGGAGUUCGGUUGCAGUUGGUGGUUUAGGUGGUUACAGGGCAACCAGCCAUGCUCGUUAGGUUCUGCAGUCCUCUGGCGUGGACCCCUUAUGCUCGGGGUCGUGUGCCUGGCGGUGCCUGGUAGUGUGCCUGUGCUUUCCAGAGCCUAGCAGGCCGCCCUGCUGCUCUACUCCCGCAACGGCGGCGAUAUCAUGUCAUGCGUGAUGUAGGAGCGCGGCAUCAGAGAACGCGUGUGGGUGCCAGACACCGUGCUUUCCAUGAAUAGAGUUUUGUCGCUGUGACGUAAACGCAUGUGAUAUCGGCUUUUUUACCAUGCACGGUAUGCGUGAGGUCACCUCUGCUCUUGUCCUUGUCCGUGGUGUUUGCUCGCUCCAUGCUUCUGUAUGUGGCCGCGGCGGUGGUGAUGGUGACGGUGGUAGUGCUGGUCUAAUAUUGCCAGUGACGGAAAGAAAGACAGCUAAGAAGGGUGGGGUUUGCCAGGCGUCCGUGAAGCGUUGUUUCAGUUAGGGACCUUGCAUGUGGUGCCGCACGCUCACGUGUGCGAUGAAGGAUCUCCGUUAUCCGUUCCGGCCGCCUUGUUGUUCUAGAGGUGAAGCAGCACCUCAGGGUGGAUUAAGCAGCUUGGAGCGGUGGAGCCUAUGUUUUACAUAUCUGCAGUAUUACACAGCGGUGGCAUGGAUGGAUUGGUCAACUCCGGCAGAGGAGGAAGAGGAAGAGGAAGAGGAGAUGGGGGGGAGCUUCCCCCAAGCCGGGUCCAGAUGCUUCCCUGAAGGUAUGCCGGGGGUGGACUGGACAGCUCUAGGGGGAAAAGGGCGCGCCUGUACGUUUUGGGGGCUAUCCGAUUUGGUGUAAGGGGGCAAACUCGAGUCAGCGAUGGACUUCCCUCCCCAAGCCAAGACUUCCGUUCGCCUGCCCUUACGGGCUUCAGAUAGCUCCCAUGGAUUGGACGUCGGGCCAUUUAAGCUCAAAAUAAAGUACGUUUUACGCAGACCAGCCGUGCAGGUGGACCGGUGUUCCGUCAUACGUCGGCAGCAACUCCCGUCACUCCCAUCGCAAUACGGCUGAGGGAACCGACCAGAGCCGACGACAGCGUCGUGGUCGCCUAAAUACUUGAUGCCAAGAGCGCAAUACCCAUCCUCUAAAACCACAUUCAAUGGAACAAUGACAAUGAAACUGCAAAAAGGGAGGAACAGGGCCUGGCGACUACUGGCGUGCGGCCCUUGAUGCUGCCCCACACGGAUAUGAGAGGCUUUGCUGAAACAUGACGACAGAAGGAAAAUCGGGCAAUACCAAUACCAGCCAUACGCACUCGUGAGCCAACACCUGCAUCUGGGUUCGUUCCUAAUAAGGGCCUAUCCGCUAGUGGGGCACAUCGGUAGGAUUAACGUUUGGUCGGGCGCGACGGCCGAUGCAUAACUCGGCACUAUGGCCUCUACAAGCUCUACACAUGUCGGUGCAAGCCCAGGGCCAGCCAUGUUCCAAAGCUUCUGAAUAAUACUUUACGUGGAUAAAGUCUUAAGAUGAGGGCAUCGUAAGCCCCAAAACUGGCCAACCGUUAAUCGACCAAAUAAAGUGCGCCACGAUGAACGCGCCUCGCCAUGAUGUACGACAACUCAUCGCCAUUUCGGAUCUGUGUUGCUAUAUAAAACGUUUAGUUUAUUAUGCCACUUUAUUGCGCUUCUGUGGUGUACUAGUCGGCUCAAGCUGCUCUAAUCAGAGUGUAAUAAAUUGGCAUCCCAGCUUGGAUCGGUGCGCAUUCUCUUUCAGUUGGUAUCGAGUAGGCAAUCCUGCCUACACGCUCCUCGCUGGUCGUCUUCGUCUUCUUUUUGGUUACCAUGGCCCUUGUCCCUUCGGAUUUCCCCAGCCAGCAUGACCGCUCCCGUUCGCGGCCCAGUGAUGCCGCAGACUACGCCGGCCGCCGCGCUAAGCCCUUCACACCCAUGGACCACCCCGCCCCUGUCAACCCCGUGGCCGACACCAUCACUUCUCCACGUCGCCGUAUCACUCCGCCUCGCCUCCAGCGCUCGCCCCCAGCUUCGCGUACCCGUCCCCAAAUCCCCGACACCUUCAUCGCCAGUUUUUCGGAAACCAUCGCUACCGCCAUCCGCGCCGCCAUGGCCAACCUCCCGGCCUGUAACGACCGUCCUCCCUCUUCCGUAACAACCCCCACCUACGCUCCCCACCCCAACGCCUCCCAACCCGCUACACCAUCGUCGGCGAAGCUCAACCUGCUACACGUAGCCCGCGACUUUCCUACGUUUGAUCCCAAGGUGCCGCAUGCGGACGUCAUAAGCUGGGAUGUCCAAAUGCGCCACAACUUCGAGAUGGCCGGCAUCCACCCUGAUAGCUCAGGUGCUGCAGCCGUUGCCCUCGCGGUCCUUCGUGGAAGAAUCGGAGAUCACCUACGACGCCUCCACGCGGACCCUACCACGCGUUUCCCUUCAUACCACGCGGUGCUUCGCGCCCUCACCCCCUUUGCCCCGGUCAUCAUAAACCGCGAACUCGAUGCACAGCUCGCCCUGUUCGGCUUGAAGCAGGGUUCAGGACCCCAUGGCCUUCGGCGCUACAUUGCCGAGUACAAACGUCUAAUGGCCGACGUGCCGUACCGUCAUGAGAUCGACCACGUCCUUUUCUUCGCCCGGGGAUUACAGGACAACCUCCGAGCGGAACUCUUUUCACGCUUGGGCUACGGCGUCUCCAACGUCAAGCUCCAAGACAUGAUAGACUUGGCGCUCACUAUUACGGCGGUGCGCUCACUUAGAUAACGAGAUGCCGCCCAUCACCUGGGCCGUGCAGACUACUAACAACCUUGAUGACCAGGCGACCACUGCUGGGAUGAUCUGAUGGACACCGCCGCCGCCCUGAACCGUCUACCCCGGGACAAGGAGAAAGCUAAAGGCAAAAGAGAACACACUGCCGCCGCCAACCAAGGCACCUUCUAGGUGGGAGACCGUGUCCGCCUCGCACCUUACCCCAUUACACUCCUUCGCCAAACUCCAUCCUCGCAACAUCAGUCCCUUCACCGUCGCCGUCGUCAUUUCCCCGGUUGCUUAUCGCCUUCAACUUCCCCCCACCUUCGGUCGAAUUCACUCCGUCUUCCACAUCGCCUCGCCUGCUUCCGCCUGGACGGUCAACGAUCCCGUGCUUUUUCCAAAGCGCCGUCUCACCGCCACAACCACCUGGAGUCCGUCCCCACCACGCUGGAGUCCUCGUUCGACAGCACCGACACUAUCGUUACUGCCGUUCGCCGUGUCUACAGCAAGCGUGCACGACCGUCCGUUAUGUUCUUGGUACAGUGGUCUGCUAGUAGUGUAGUGGUCAUGACGCGUCCUGGGAACCGUACGAUGACGUCCGCUGCCUACCAGCGCUUCGUGCCGUCCUGGCGACCCCAGCCUGGACCUCGCGCCCCGGUGAACGACAAUCGAGCGCAAUUUCGGAUCCGUGUUGCAUUAUAAGAAGAUAUUGUUGUUUAGUUUGUUUCGUCAUCUUUAUUGCGCUUCUGUGGGGUGUUCAUCGGCCUAAAUAGCUCUAAUCAGAGCGUAACAAAUUGGCAUCCCAACUUGGAUCGCAAGACAUUCCCUAAUACUUCUAUCUGGAAAGAAGGCUACAUCUCUUUGGCUGGUGUACGGUAACACCGCACAUAGCUAAGCUUUGACAAAGCUCUCCACGGCAUCCACCAUUGUAAGCAUUUGCCAUUGUCAACCUUUUUCGUUGUUGAAUUAGAAUGGCACCAUCAUGUAAAUGUAUAUAAAAUAGCGAUAUUGAUGUGCCCCAGCAAACUACGAUGAAAUAUGGUCGUUGCCUCUCCGCAACCGUCAACUGAUCCAACUCUCCGCUCUGGUAAACCCGAGAAACUUUCGUUGUUCUGCAUUUUAUCGGCGUAAGUGCCAGUAGGUUAAGGCUCUGGAGCAAAUCUUCAUCCAUCAGCACUGAUAUUGCCAAAAUAAUACCCGUACCCGCCUUGCGGGUCUCUCCGCACUGCUGAACCAGAGGGCGAAUGACACUGUCGUCAUAUUUCUAUCGUCAUAAAUAUUGUUACCACUUUUGCCCGCGCAGAACAAGCAUUAUUAUCACAACGAGUCACACGACAAGUGGGACGUUCGCCAUGGCUACGACAAUGUCGUAUGCGAACUUUUGAACCGGCUUCUCAACGACCUAUGGAAGCACGUUUGUUACGCUUCCAUGCAAUCAUUACCUGUGUUACUCCUAAUACGUGCCCAAAAUGAAGGUUCAGCCUACUGAAGUAGGAAAGCGAAAUCGCGAUGAGCACACAGACACGCUGAUUAAAUCUUUGCUAGACGAAGAGAAGGCAAGCAAGAAACAGAAGAGAGGUUCACCACAUGCAGAUGUCGGCACAAAGCCAGCUGUCCAGGUCCGAAAGGGCAAAACGUUUGCUGAGAUCGAGGCGGAGGAGGGAGGACCCAUUAAAGAGUCCCUAGUUGGGAUGGCACACACAAAACGCGCGCUCGACCGCAAGAAGAGGGAUGUGGAAGUUGGCGACACGGAGUUGGUUACAAACACGGAGCGCUACGAGAAGGACACGCUGGAGGUGGAGCAAGAGGACGGAAUCACGUUUGAGCCCUUCAACCUCAAGCAGGAACGCGAGGAAGGCUACUUCGACGAGGAUGGCAAUUACGUGCUACGGAAGCAGGCUGGCGAGGAGGGCAAUGAGGGAGAGGAUGCAUGGCUGAACUCGGAAGAAGCUAAGGUGGUCAGCGAUGCAGUCCGACGGAAAAUUGAGGAGCAGCGCGCCCGCGAUGAGGCGGCCGCACGAAGAGGGCCCCUUACGGAACGACAGAUAGCGCAGGUCCGGCUUGCAGCCUGUGCCACGCCUGUAAUAGAUACGGGUAGAAGAUAUAGGCUAGAAGCUCACUGCAUGGCACACUGCGCGCGGCAAAUCACGAAACCUAGAGGACACGAGCGAUACCGGGAUUCGGGCUGACGCCGCGAAAUGAGGCAGGUUAGUGGUUAGGGGGCAGAAAUCGGCAACACGUAGGGGAAGGGGAUCGAGGUGGGAAUGGCCGGCUCAGUAUUGCGCCGCUGCAGAAAAGGAGCGAGACGCUGCAGCCACCCAAUGCACCAUGGCGCCAGACGGUCAGUCGUUACCUCAAGUCCUUCCCCCUGCGUCCGUCGGGUGUCCUUUGGAGGAUGGGCAUGCGGAGAAAAAUCCCACCAACUCCAGGCCGCAUCGUUGGUCCGCCUCCUCGUCAUUGGUCAUUGGUCAUAUCUAGUUCUGUUCCUUUGCUUUCUCAUCACCUCCCUCUUCACACUCUCUUCACACUCCCUUCACUCUCCCUCAACUCGCUCUUCACGCUCUUAUCUCCCUGCACUCUUCUCUCCUGUCCCAGCGCAAGGCGGACAUGGCUGCCUUAAUGGGCCCUGAAGAAACUGUCACUCGGGCCCUGAAACGCCUUGGCGCCGCCGCCGCCGCCGCCGCCGCUGCUGCUGGCGGCUGCGCCACCGCCGGCGGCGGCAGCGGCCUGCCGCACCGCGCCAUGGGCAAGCGCGAACGUGCACGGCUCCUCGCCCAACAGCAGCAACAACAGCAGCAGCGGGGCAUGGAUACAGUCGCCGCUGGCUCCGUUGACACCGCGGUAAGGGUACGGGGGCACUUCACUCGCCUGACGGAACUGGCCGAUGAGUUGCUCGGGGAGGGGGAGCUCGAGAUUUAUGAAGCAACACAGGAAGAGCUGCUGCGAUCCGCGCGAAUGUGGCUGCCCAACCUGACACUGGCGGCGGCGGCGGAGCCGCCUCCGAUGCCGCCGUCGGGUGCUGCUGCUACUGCCGCCGCCAGCAAUCAACGCGGCGCGAGAGACCAAGCCGAUGACAGCGACGAGGAUAUGUUCGCGGAUGAUAAAGAUGAGAAUCGCAUUGGCGAGAAGGCUGCGGGAGAGGGGCCAGGUAAUCUAGCAGCUGCAGCAGUGGCGGCGGUGGAUGAGGACCAGGACAUGUUUGCGGAUGAUGAUGAUGAUGAUGGUGAGGCCGGUGGCGGCGGUGGGGCUGGACGUGCGGCGACAGGGGCUGCCGCGAGUGGUAGGGGCGCGGGCGGCGGCGGCGGCGGCGGUGGCGGAGGUGAUGGCGAAGGCCGCAGCAAGCGAUCGGAGCUCCUGGGCGACACUUCGCCGUCCGCUGCAGCAGCAGCAGCAGCAGCAACGCCGUCCAUAGGUGACGCCACCACCGCAGCAGCACCACUACCGCCGGCAACGGCGGCGGGAGCAGCAACACCAGGUGGUGGUGGUGGUGGUGGUGGUGGUGGCGGUGGUAACUCCGCCGUUGACUAUAGCUCCUGGCCAGUCAAGGAACUCAAGCGUGUGCUGCAGGUGGGUGCAGGAGGAGGCUUAAUGGUGCAGUGAUGUAUGUGUGUGUGGGGGGGUUGGUUGCGGGAAGAGGAAGAGGGCGAAUUAAUGAACGGAUGAGAAGCGCCGAGAAGGAACUGCUGAGGAUGGCGCACCAGGGUGGAUGGCAGGCGGGUGUAUGUAUGUAUGUAUGUAUGUAUGUAUGUAUGUAUGUAUGUAUGUAUGUAUGUAUGUAUGUAUGUAUGUAUGUGUGUUACAUCCUGACGAAUAUUUGUGUUAUUGUGUUACCCAACUGGUAAUUAAUACUCAACGGUUCACUACUCCGGGUUUGGAGGAGGAAGGCAGUUGAAGAGGAGCUUUCCCGGGCUUAAUAUAGUUCCUAGUUCCUAGUUCCUAGCAUCCUCCUGGCAUCCUUCUGGAAACCAACUAUUGACGAACCGCAUCACGCUGUCCCACCCCCACCCACCCCCCGUCAGUGUCGAAACCUACUAACGUUACAUGCUUUCGGUUCCAAAUUUUAUCGCCUCCGCUGUGGUGUUGUGUCCUGAUCAGGAACGCGGAGUGGAUUCCAGCGGGUUCGUGGAGAAGGCCGACCUGGUCGCGAAGGUGAAGGAGGUGGUGGACGUGGCGGGUGGCACCACCGGCGGCAGCACCGCGGCUGGGGUUCGUGGCGGCGGUGGGGAGGGGGAGGGGGAGUUCGUGGCGCCGCCGGGGUACGUCUUUGACCCCAGCAGCGGCUACUUCUACUCGGAAGACUCGGGAAUGUACUACGACACCAGCAGCGGUGGGUACUGCCAGGCUGUGACGGGGAGGUGGUUCUAUCUGGAUAAAAGCAGCGGGACGUUUGUGGAUUGGAACCUGUGAGGCACGACAGACAGACGGAUGGACAGACAGACGGACGGACAGACGGAUGGAUGGGUGGAUGGACAGACAGACAGGCGGAUGGAUGAGCGGAUGGAUGGACAGACGAACAGACAGACAGACGGAUGGACGGAUGGACAGACGAACAGACAGAUGGACCACAGGAUAACCUUCGGGGUAGCCUUCCAGAGGAAAAGACGGACAUACACACACACAGAGAAACGUGCGGACCACGGACGGGAUGUCUCCUGGAUCAAUGAGAGGACAUAUGGACAGGCCGGGCGGUCGUGAUGCCCAGGAGGAGGAGGAGGACGAGGAGGAGGACGAGGGCACAUGACGGCGGCAUGAGGACAGACGGCCCUGGGGGCCCGCACGGCACGGGAAAAGGGGAAGCGGGAAGAACGGUGGCCGGCAGGGUCCUAGCUGGUUCGCAUGCUGCCAUGCACGAAGAUGUAACGUUCUUUAAUUUUAAUGGACGUUUGGAGGAAACAACACAGAGAAGAAAUAUAUAAUUAUUUCGCGGCUUCAUGUGUUUAUUAGCUUCAUCACUACAGCUCCACUCCGGUACGUGUGCCGUACCAGUUGUACGGCAAAGACCAUGGCUCCUCUGCCAGCAUUUAGGUAGAUGAAUGUUUUGUACCGAAGAUCCGUACGGUGUACGGUUGCUCGUCUGCAGAAAAGUUGGGGCCGUGUACACGCAGAGCUCGCGGACAUCCUUCGCGCGCGGGAAGGUGGCUUAAGAGUAACCCGCCUGCCUCUUUGUCUCACUCCUGAUCAGAUGCACUUUCAAAUUAAUUAGCACAGGAAGGUGCUUCCUUGGUCAUUUUUUUCCUAGACACCACGCCUUUCAUGUACUGCAAAAGCCGUUUCGCCGUCGUACAUGGCGUUGUACAGAACCCGCCGCGCAACAAAAUGAAAGGAAUGAAGACCGCCGAUUCGUUUAAUCGUUCCACACGGCACACGUUUUUGAGGUUGCCGUACACGCUAGGCUGUGUGUCCCGUGAACAUCUCCGGCACCCCCCGGCUAACCAACUUCUCACACACGAAGCAAACGUACGGCAUUUGGAAACUUCCCGCGGCAACCUUCAAGCUUUUUGACCGCCUUUAACGCCGGUCGCCACACUCUUCCACGGUAAUGACAUUCUAAGGGCGUUAUUCCACAGUGGCCGCGGGGUGCGAAGGGGGUUCUUGGGUGGGAGGGAGUGUGUGCACCACCACACCGCGCUCUCCCUUCGGCGAUGAUGAGCGGCGAGCCAGUGUGGGAGGGUUACGGGGCCCUUAACGGGGGAUAAGUUGCCGACACCGCAUCUAUGCGGGCAGCGUGAUACUGGCGAGCCAAUGAUAACACCCUUUUCACCCUAUUCUGGUGCAUUAGACAUUUUACCGGAAAACCUUUUGGCAAGACGCGCAGCACGAGCUGGCCUAGCAUUCCGGAGCAUUCUGGAAGUUUUGGUUGCUAGAAAACGACGAAUCCGGCAGCAUUUCGAAGGUGUUGCGAACGAUGGGAGAUUGAAACGGGCUCCGCAGAGCACGGCGGGGCGGGACGUGUAGCACUGGGCACGGACCUGGUACCGGGAAUAGCCAGAUAGCCAGACGUCUGACCAAGGGGGUAUGCGGUGUAAGAAGGCACAUUAAGGGGGGGCCGGUAAUUGUAAGCAAGCAGGUUCAGGUCAUCUGUGUGCAGCCCGCAUCCAUGCUUUGUGGGACAACAUAGGCGAGCGAGCUUCUGCACAUCCACUCGCCCCCCAAUCAGACCUGGUAUGGGCUUUCUAGGCAUCGAGCACAUGAAGGGACGCUAUAAAGUGGGAACCUGAACGUCUGGCAAGGAUGCUGGAACAAAUAUGGUCCCACCGCAAUCCUAUAUCGUUCCCUUUGGUCGUAGUAUCCUUUAUGACUUGCUUUGUCUGAAGUGCGAGGUAGGCUGGUGUGCUUAUAGGCGGUCCGGCAGCCCUUGAGCCCUCGGCUCGUAUUGGGCGGUUUGCAGGUACGGGGAACGCACCCCACGACCAUGUAACACACACACAUACACACACAUACACACACAUACACACACAUACACACACAUACACACAUACACACACAUACACACACAUACACACACAUACACACACAUACACACACAUACACACAAACACACACAUACGCACACAUACAUACAUAUACACACAUACAUACACACCAGGGGUUGUCAGUCACUCUGUUCACGAGUGCGUGUUUGUGCGCGCCUCCUACCAUAGACUCUUGCAAAAACUCUUGUAAACUCAGCACUUAGCACAUCCACCCAGCCUAACUGGAAUUCAGC